CUUGCCGUGGUCUCUGCGAUGGCUUCGGUACGAACACGUGCAAUUCCGUCAUUGGCAUCGCCCCUGCUGUCCUGAACAAUGUCAACUUCUUCUUCACGACGUGCAAAGUGAGGGUCUCUGGGCUGUGCACGCCCCUCUGCGUCAAUACCUGCAGCCUCAACACCGUGACGCCGGCCAGCCCGCCGCCACCACCAUGCAAGCCAUAAUUGGUCCAUGCGUAUUACUGCAGCAUGAAUGUCUCAAGUAAUUCAAGUCCCGGCCGUAGAUCCGGGCAUUUGCGUUCCAUUUUAAUUUCCCUUUAAUUGUGGUGUCACCAAGUACUAGUCAUCAUUGUGCACACCUCUAUAUGUAAUUUUAUUUGAAAAGAUUAUUACCUAUCUUGAGAAAUUUACUGCUAUUAUUUAUUUUUACCACGAUAUAUUUACCUGCAUUGUACCUUCCACCACAAUACUGUGGGUUAAUUUUUCAAUUUCUCUAUCUUCUAUCUCUUCCCAAAAGUUUGAUCUGAUGUGCAACCCUAUUUCUCCUAAUUUUCAUAUACAGGGACUGGAUGACAAGUUCAUUAUAAACUCCCUCAGUCAAUGGUGCUCAUUAGAAAAUGUUAUACAUGCUGGUAUGCUGGUGUGUAUGCAUGUAAUAUCGCAUUAACUACUACAAUCGAAUGAAAUGCAUGCUCAUCUUACUGUAAUGCAUUCAAACGACUCUAAGGGUUUGUUUGUUUCCCUCCUAGAUUAUAUAAGCCGGAUUAUGAUUCAAGGGUAGGAGGAUAAAAGAUCAUUAUGGGAUCACUAGGGGACAAUAUAUAAUCUGAAAUAAGCUAGCCUUUGGUAGCUUAUUUCAGAUUAUACGUGGUCCCAAAGUGAUAUUUUACUAUAGUACCCAAGACCCAUAAUCCAACUUAUAUAAUUUAGGUGGAUUAUAAUCCCAAACAAACAGGACCUUAUUCGUGUGUAAUUUAUCUUAUACCUUCUAAUGCGCUUGAGUUAUAGAAAGCAUGUGCGACUCAUCACACUGCUUGCUGCGUCAGCCACGCUUGCGAACGUGCGUGCUACUUGCACCACGCUGCUCGUUAGCUAGCAGUUUGUAGCACUAAGGCCAUGUUACCAUUUUCUAUCAACGAAUCAGCAGCACGCAUACACGUACGUGAUGGAACAAUUGUGUACAGCGGAUGCCUAUAUCUUGCUAGCUAGACUAAUAGGAGAGAGUACUUUUGGAAUGUCGAUGCUAAUCAUAGCGAUCAAAAUGCGCUAAAAAAAUUGAUAAAUCCUUCUUUUUUUGUUAUCUACCAUUAUAUAUGAUUCCUUAUGGUAUUUGGCUGCAUGGAUGGAAUGAACUUGGGAAUAUUGAUAGGAUUAACAGGAACACUAGGUGCUAAUCUAGCAGGUAAAACACUUAGAUUAAAACAACAUUGGACCAUAGAUCUACAACAGGGGCUUCCUAUUGGGGAGAGUGAGAGGAUGACCGACUGUUGGGCUUCAUCGGCAAGGAGGACACCAUGGCAGUGUUGGUGAUGGCGACGUUAACACAGAGGCGGAGGCGGCGCGGUUAGGUGUUGGCGGUGCUUCCCGCCGCUGAUAGUGCCUCCACUAGAUUGGCUAGGGUUUGUUGGUGGGUCUUGUGGGUAUGGUGAACCUUGGAUUGCGUUCCCCCAGCCCGCACCUUUCCUUUUAUUUGGCACUGCAUGACAGAGGCCCACCAACCAUGAGUUGGUUGUGCGCCCCCAAUCAGGGCGCGAGAUAAGGCUCGGACUCAUAUGUUGGGAGAUCAAACUAACAUUCUCCCUCUUGAUCUCACCUUUCAUUUAGACUUAGACUUAAACUUAACUUGGCAGCCAUUUCAUCACAGAUCAGUGUGUAGAUCAUGUCUCAUCAUAAUAGCUAGUUACGUACUAUCAAAUUCAACAACUACAACACACCUUUCUGUUUUGAAACAGAUUCUUGUUCUAGGCCCUUAGUAUCCAGGUAUCAUAGGCUUUUGUCACACCCGGUUUUAAAACAAAACCAAGUGCUACCUAUAUGUAUGCCAGGAUCAAGUUUCAUACAUAUACUGACAUCAUCAGUGAAUAACAGCAACAGUAUCACAUAAAAGAUACAAGUAAGACUUACGACAUUAUCAGAGAUACACAGCUUAAACACGGAAUCGGAGGUUCCAAACUUCACAGGCAAACGACUGGGGGUUGCGUACGCCUAGAACUCAGCAUCAUCUUCACAACUUCACACACCUUCUUCUUCUGAGCAGCGAUAAGCAAGGGUGAGUACACUUAUGGUUGGUACUCAGCAAGGCCACAAGAAAUAACCAGAAUAGUGAUUUAACUCCAUCUUCAAGUAUAUUAAUCAUGUGAGGGUCUAGGCCGCUCUUGACCGUGAGCACGGCUGUUAUAACAGUUUUACACUCUGCAGAGGUUGUACAUCUUUACCCACAAGUCGCGUAAAAGUUCAGAAGAACUUUAGACCCAACCAUGCUGUGUAAAAGUAGGCACAAUACCAUACUUCCGAGGUGUGGUUGCAUAGGGACGCUACGAGGCCUUUACAAAGAUUCACUAGUAAGUGGUAACCCGCUAAGAUUUCAGGUCGAAGCAGAGCAUAACAGUCCCCUAGUGAGUUCAGUAUCUUAGCAAAGCCCACGUCCCAAGAGAGCGAGUGCUAUACCCCAUCAACGCCUCCCCUCUUGCCCUUUCGGUAAGAUUACCCCAGACUAGGGUUUCUAAUUAUUCAGCCAAGACCAGAGCCAUUUAGUCUUGUGGUAGCACUGUUUUCCUGGGUGGUCGCUCCAUGUUCCAAUUAAUGCAAGAUAUUCUUGUAAAUAAGCAUAGAUAGAAGGAUGGUUAGGGACACUUGCCUUUCUCCAACGAAAAGUUACUCUCACUGCUCUUCGGCUCCUGCUCUCUUGAAACUCUUAACCUUCAAAUCUUCCGUGCAGCGAUCCUUCUACUCGAAGCAAUCACCGGCACAAACAUACAAGCAAACAAACAAGUACAACUAAGAACAAUACACCAAACAAAAGAAAGCUUUAAAAGAGCGUACUAAAGAAUAGGGUGCAAUUCUAGGAUUACGUGAACGUAGGAAACACUGAAACGGAUCUAUGGUUGAAAAGAUAGAGCUAUCGAGUGAUUUGAAUUAUAAAAGAAAAGACAAGAGCUACAAGCUUCAUUUAUUUUAGUUGAGAAAAAUAAUAUAAAGAUAUUUCAGAGAAAUAUCCUUAGUUAGAAUUAAUCAAGUCAUAUUUAUAUUUUCAUAAGAAAAGAAGGUGUAAAUCUUAGUCCAAUUUUAUUUAUAAAUAUUUAUGUACAAGUUAUACAAAUUAAACAUUUAAUUUGAAAAUAAAGUAUAUGAACGUCUAAGCGCAUAACUUUAUGAUUUGGAUUGAACUAACCAAAUUAUAAUUUAAAAACAUAUUUAUAUCCAUAUUAGCCAAAUUAACAUUUAAUUAUGAAAAAUCGAGAUAUAACCUAUGCAACUUUUAUUUAGAAAAUGAAUUGGAUAAAUAUUAAUCAAAUUGAGUUUAAUUUAUGAAAAACCGAGGUAUAACUCUAAUUGACUUUUAAUUAGAAAAUGAUAUGAAGUAGGCAUUAGUCAAAUUGAUGUUUAUUAUGAAAACGGUGUAGAUCACUAAACAGAUUUUAUUUAGAGAAGAACGCGUUUAUUAGGCAUUAAUCAAUUUUAAUAUAAAAUUUAUUUUUAAAAAUAUGCGUGAAAACAUUACUACUAACAUGUAAUUUACGUUAUUAUGAACCUAACGCAACUUGAACGAAUAAAAACGGAGUUAAAACGUGGAUUCUACGAGGUACAGAAGGUUGCAGGGCCCUAGUCAUAAUUAACUAUAUACGUCAGGGGCUAGCAAGGAAGAUUGGCAAGACACAUGUAAUAGCGCUUGAGAUUUGGACAAAGCUCAGGGUUAGAUCUAGAAAAGUGUGAGUCCCGGCUUAGAUUGAAAGAAACCCGAAAGAUUGAGGGUUUUUCUGCAAAGUUGCAAAGACACAAGGAAAAGAUUACUAAUUACAGAUUCUUUCGGAGAUCCAUUUGUAAAAUGGCUUAUCUCCUUCCUUGCGGACGGGGCAUCUUUGGCCAGACAACUACCGGCAGCGACGGCCGAGGAAACGCAGGCGAGCGUGGCCGGCCCGAUGCUAGCUUCUGGCGCGUGCGGAACGGCCAAGGCAGGAGCACCGCACGGCAACGGGGCCGGCAGGCGGCGGUGCGGCCGGCUUCCAGGCAAGGACGGCGGCGGCGCACGGUACUGCGUCCCGGGGUGCCUCGGCAGCGGCGCAAACGGCGCGCAGCAGGGCGUCUCGGCGGCGCGGGUGGUAACGGCGGCGGCGGGCAGGAGCAGGCGGCGCGUGCGGCUCGGGAGGCGAGGCGAGGCCCUAGGCGGCGGCGGCUCUCAGGGGCACGGCCAGGCCAUGGCCGGGUGGAUGAACAGGAACGGACCGAAUACAGGGGAAAAAAAAGAUUCUGCCGAUAACGUCCCCUAGUCUUGCGAUUGAACGGCAAAGUCUUGCGAUUGAACGGCAAAACGGAACAGGGGCGACGAGAUGAACGCGUUGAUGUGCUCACCUUCGACCGGGGAUGAACGAUGGUGGCGGAAAAGCUUGCCGGAGUUCGAGAAAAGCUCGUCGGAGUUGAGGAAGACGACGGAGCCGACACCGGACUCGCGCAAUCCACCACAUCACGGUGUAGAGCUUGAAGAGAGGAACUCCGUGGUGGUGUCGAUGGAGCUCGGAGAGUCAACUCGCGAAAAUGUUUUUAGAUAAUCCUCACGUCGAAUGAACGCGGUGAUAUGUAUAUAGGCUGGGUUUGGGAAAAGAUAUUUUCGGGAUGACUUUUAUUUUUGGAAUUUCUGAUUUUAUUUAUCUGCAUGAAAACAAUUCUGGAAAUAGCCGGACUCGUUUUCUAAAGCAAGAAAAAUAUCUAGAAACUUCGAAAAAUCCCAAGAUAAAUCUCAGAGUUGAAAUAGAACACAAGGAAUCCAAAUAAAAUACUUGGAGCUCGUGAAAAGGAAUCUAGAGCCUUCCAAAAAUUAGAUUUAGCUCUAGGUAAAUGAGAAAAAAUUCCCGAAAAAGAUGGAAAAUUCUCAGAAGGGCCUGGACAACGUCUAAACGCAUUUUUGAAACUUUUACACUUAUGUAACACCAAGAUGCAUCGGUCAUAAAUGCACAGACACCGAACAACAUUAUUUAAUUUAGAAAAUCAAAUAAUUAUUUUUUCCCUAUACUAAAUUUCUUGCAAAGAAAAAGAAAAAUUGGGAAAAUUUUAAAUUGAGAAAAUUAUUGUUUAUUUAUUCUUUUUAUUCACAUCCUAAAAUUUGAAAAUUUUAGAGUGUGACAGCUUUCCCGUAAACCCAUGCCGACUAAGUGUUCUCUGAGCAUAUUGGGCGGUAAGCCUUUUGUAAGCGGAUCCGCGAGCAUUUCUUUGUUCUUAUAUGCUCUAAACUUAUGGUAUGAUCCUGGAUUCUAUCUUUCACAACAUAAAACUUAAUGUCAAUGUGUUUGGCAGGACCACUUGACUUAUUGUUGUGAUCAUAGAAUAUUGUUGGCUCAUUAUCAUAGUACAUCUUGAGUGGUAUUUGAAUGUUGUCUACCACUCUCAACCCGGGUACAAACUUCUUUAACCAGUUUGCCUGCCCCGUGGCCUCAUAGCAUGCUACAAACUCGGCAAACAUCGUGGAUAAUGCUGUGACGGUUUGCUUGGAGCUUAUCCACGAUAUAGCUCCACCUGCGAGAGUGAAUACAUAACCUGACGUUGAUUUUCUAUCGUCUACAUCUUCCGCAAAGUCUGAAUCUGAGUACCCUUCGGAAUCAAUUCUUCUAUACGUUAGCAUGAGGUCUUUCGUGCCUUGUGUAUAAUGCAAUUCCUUCUUUACCAUUUUCUAGUGAUCUAUUCCUGGAUUAUCUUGAUAUCUGCCAAGUACCCCGUAACAAAAGCUAAGUCAGGGUGCGUACACACUUGAGCAUACAUUAAGCUUCCGACAGCUGAAGCAUAUGGAACCACUUUCAUUUGAUCGAUCUCAUAUUGGUUCCUGGGACUUUGAAAAUUUCCAAAUCUAUCGCCCUUGACUAUGAGAGUAGGUGUAGGUCUACUCGCAUGCAUGCUAUACUUCUUCAAAAUCUUCUCUAAGUAAGCCUUUUGCUAUAAUCCCAAUACCCCAUUUUUUCUAUCUCGGUGAAUUUCAAUUCCUAAAACAAAUGAAGCUUCACCAAGAUCUUUCAUAUCAAAGUUUGAGGACAAGAAUUUCUUUGUCUCCAGUAGUAGACUAACAUCACUACUAGCAAAUAGAAUGUCAUCUAUAUACAGGAUAAGGAAAACGAAUUUCCCACUCUUAAACUUUGCAUACACGCAAUUGUCCUCCUUAUUCUCACUAAAUCCAAACUUUCUUAUUGUCCCAUGAAACUUCAGGUACCACUACCUGGAGGCUUGUUUUAAUCCAUAAAUGUAUUUCUUCAUACGACAUCCAUAUGUUAUUUUCCUUCCAUGACAAAACCUUUGGGUUGUGCCAUGUAAAUAUUUUCUUCUAGGUCUCCAUUGAGAAAAGCCGUCUUUACAUCCAUCUGAUGUAACACUAAAUCAUAGUGUGCCACUAAAGCUAUUAUAAUUAUGAAAGAAUCCUUACAUGAGACUGGAGAAAAUGUCUCAUUAUAGUAUAUUCCUUCUCUUUGUGUGAAACCUGUUGCGACAAGUCGUGCUUUUUAUUUUUUGACAUUCCCUUUGGAGUCACAUUUUGUUUUGUAGACCCAUUUACAGCCUACUGUUUUGGCUCCUUUAGGAAUUUGUUCUAAAUGCCUGACUUUGUUGCUACUCAUGGAUCUCAUUUCAUCUUCCAUGGCUUCAAGCCACUUUGAUGAGUGAGAACUUCUCAUGGCUUCUUCAAAUGAGGUGGAAUCUCCCUCCACUUGAACUUCUUCACUGACAUAGACUUCAUAGUCAUUAGGAAUGGCUGGCUUUCUUCCUCUUGGAGACCUUCUGGGGGCCUCAACAUUUGGCACAUCUUCCAUGUGGGGCUGUUGCAACUCUUCCUCAUGUGUGACAAUAGGUUCGAUAGGAUCCUGAAGGAUAGGUUCCUCAUCUUCAUUCAUUGUUGCCACAGGAGAACUAACAACAAGUGCUGUAGCCACAAUGUCCUGUACUGUCAGUGCAGCAACAACAUGUACCGAGAAAAAAGGUUCCUGAAUCAUCGGAGUGGGUACAUAUACCCACUUCUCUUCAAGGUUAAUUUCUCGAGGUACCGUACUCCUCCUAAUCAUCUCAUCUUCUAGAAACACAAUGUGUCUCAUUUCUACAAACUUAUUAUGUAUGUCAGGACAGUAGAAAAGAUAACCUUUUGACUUUUCAGUGUAGCUAAUGAAAUGACAACUAACUGUCUUAGGAUCUAAUUUCUCAAUGUUUGGGUUAAAGACUUUAGCCUCAACUGGACAGCCCCACACACGCAAAUAAUUAAGUGAGGGCUCUUAUCUAGUCCACAACUCAUACGAUGUUUUAGACACCGACUUACUAGGAACCCGAUUAAGGAUGUGAAUGGUGGUUUUUAACACCUCCAUCCACAAACUAACUGGUAAAGUGGAGUAACUAAUCAUGCUUCUCACCAUAUCCAUUAGGGUACGGUUACGUCUUUCAGCUACUCCAUUCUGUCUAUGCUAUUUUCCUUUAGAAACCUUGCAAAAGGUCCAGGAACUUGUCCAUAUGGGGUAUGUCGACUGUAGUACUCCCCCAUGGUCGAUUCUUACCAUUUUAAUCUUUAAACUAAGCUAAUUUUCUACUUCAGCCUUAAAUAUCUUGAAUUUAUACAACGCUUCUGAACGCUCUUUAAUUGGAUUAAUAUAACCAUAACACGAAUAAUCAUUUAUGAAUGUUAUAAAUGAAUCAUAACCAUCCACAGAUGUCACAGGAAAUGGACCACAGAUAUCCGUAUGAAUUAUUUCUAAAAUUCUUGCGCUUCUUUUGGCGUCUUUCAUAAUUUUCUUAAUGAACUUUCUCUUAAUGCAAUCCAUGCAUUGAUCUAAAUCUAAAAAUUCUAAAGGCGGAAGAAUUGAUUCCUUAACUAACUGUUCUAUUCUCCUCCUCAAAAUAUGGCUAAACGACAGUGCCAUAAUUUCGAAGAUGCAUGAUCAAUUCUUUCCCGCUUAUUCUUUACAUUCAUAGACGAGGAGGCCUUCUAAUUCUCAGCGCUUACAACAUUCACAUUCUCAAAAAGUGAUAAUAAAUAAAGCUCAUCUUGUCUGAAGGCAAGACCAAUAAUCUUAUUAUUAAACUUGAUUUUACAUUGUCCAUCACCGAAAUGACAAGCAAAACCAUCAUCAUCUAAACGCGAUACACUUAUUAAGUUCCUAUGCAAAGAGGGUACACAAAGAAUAUCUCUCAAAUGAAGUACAAAACCAUUUGCUAAUUCUAAUGGGAGUUCUCCAAUGGCUUCGACUUCAGCUUGGACGCCAUUUGCAACUUUAAUGCUUCUAUCUCCUCUUUGCAGGGUCCUCCUCGUAUGGAAUCCCUGUAAUGAAUUUGCAACAUGAACAAUUGUACUUGAAUCAAUCCACCAAGUAUAUUUUGCAUAACUUAAAUACAAGGACUCAUCUACAAAUGUAAUAAGAUCCUCACCUCUAUAACACAGAUGCUUUAGGAAAUCCACACAGCCUUUCUGGUAGUGUCCUUUCUUCUUGCACCACUUGCAAGUGUCCUUGUCCACCACCUCUUCAUGGUUUGAUCUUUGAUGGUGAUCAUACAUUGGAGCCUUUCCAUGUGCCUUAGAAGAAGAGGCGUUCCACUGAGGUUUCCCUUGUGGCUUAGAAUUCUAAAAAUUGCUCUUAUUGUUUUGGCUUAGGUAAUUGAUAGUAUCACCGGACGAGCCCUUAAGACUCUCUUCUUCUUGCACACACAUGGCAAUCAUCUUCUUAAUACCCCACUUUUUAGGCUAUGAGUUGUAAUUCACAGCAAAGGUCUCAAACUCUUUGGGCAGUGAGGUAAAGAUUAGAUGGACUAUAAACUCUUUUGGAAGCUCCAUUUCCAUAGACUUAAGCUUGGAAGACAUAUUGUUCAUUCUCAAUAUGUGAUCCCUUAUUCCACUGCCAAUAUACUUAAUAGUAACAAGCUAUCUUAUGAGAGUGCUUGCAUAUGCCUUUGAAGAUCCAGUAAACUGACUCUCCACAUUUGUCAAGUACUCCUUAGAUCUACAACACGUACUUCCUAGAGGGGAGAGUGAGAGGAUGACCGACCGUCGGGCUUCAUCGGAGGACGCCAUGGCGGUGUUGGUGACAGCAACGUUGACGCAGAGGUUAGGUGUUGGCGGUGCUUCCUGCCACUGACAGCGUCUCCAGUAGAUCAGCUAGGGUUUGUUGGUGGGUUUGGUGGGCAUGGUGAACCUUGGCUUGCAUGCCCUCGGCCCCCACCUUUCCUUUUAUUUGGUGCUGCGUGAUGGGGCCCCACCAACCAUGACUGGUUGUGCGCCCCCGAUCAGGGCGCGAGAUAAGGCUCGGACUCGUCCGUUGGGAGAUCAAACUAACAAAUACGAGUGAGCGAGUGAGCGAGUAACACUUUAUCUUUGGAUAUGAUCCCAAAUUACAUGCUUUUUUUUCCCAGGUGCAUAGUUGUAUGAUGCUUGAGCUAUAGCAUUGCCAAAUUCAUCACUGCUUUCCCUAUUACACAGGUAUUUUCUUCACAUCAAAUGGAUCCACUAGCCAAGCUAUUAUUUUUUUGUUGGAGAUCGAAAAGAUCUGUUGCAUUGAUUCAGAUUGAAUUUACUACAAGCUUAGAGGGUGAUCCUGAUUCGGGCGUGCAGCAGGCAAUCUUGUUUAUCCUAAUUUUAACUUGUGUCUCCAUGCAAGAUAUGUUAAAGCAGCAAUAAGCUGCAUAGCCUGGCAUUAAAUGCGCACUAUAUGUGCAGAAACUUAUAUUUUCACUCAAAGAUCACAGCGAUUAGGCUCGAGCUUGCAACUCAGAAAAUAGAGAGGCUGGAACAAGCGAUCAAAGGCUGCGAAUAACACUCAGAAUAAGCUAUGCUCAGUCUAAACCCCCUCCGCGCAAAAGGAUGAACGGUGGGGUGACAUUUUUCAAAUCGAAAAUUCAUCUUGUCCUUUCGCACGAAGGCUUUAGCCUCAGCUAAAACUAUCGCAGCAACGCAAGAAGGUGACGUUUUUCAAAAAGGCAUCCUCACUCCCCUUUUUCCUCAGGUCCUAGGCUCGAUCCUGACUAUGAUUUAUGUUAGCUCACUUACAAUGCUCGAAAAGAGCAUGCCAAGCUACAAAUAAACCUCAUAGUGUAAGCCACGAAGUCGGUAACACCAACCCAAACCAGCAACCUUGUAAAAUUUCAUGGUUGAAGCAACUAAGGGUGCGAUAUCAACCAAACUGCAGUUACUUUUUAAGUCAACAAAACUCGAAAAUAAGUUUUUCGUUGACUUAUCUUGACGAUUAUCAAGAUUCACCUAACCUCGCUCCAAGAAAAAGUUAAGAAGGGUGGACUGACAUUUUUUGGAAAAAGUAAAGCUUGUUAAUUCUGUCUUUCGCUGUCUGUUCCUAAAAAACAAAAAUUUUCAACAGCAGCAUCUAAGCUCAUUUUUUCGUGGAAAAGAAUGAAAAGGGGGGUGACAUUUUUUAACAAACAAAAUCGUUAUCAUCCUCUUUCCACGAAGAAACAACCUCGAGUAGGACCUGCGAGCAUGCGACAUGGGGUUACAUUUUUCAAAAAGUGCUUCUCAUCCCUUUGUGAUCAGAAUUUUGGCCCAAAGCCAACAAGCAAAUUCCCGUCGCCUAACUCAAGAAACUGGCACAAAACUAAAAAUCUACGCGCAAAGGAGCAAAGGGGGUUGACGUUUUUCAAAAAGAAAAAGCAACCCUCGCUCCUUUGCACUAUAAAUUCAGUUAAACAAACAUUUAAAGACCGAGGUAAAAAGAAACCGGCAAGGAUAAUCACGUUAGAAGCAACUAGUCUAAGCACGAGUUCUGACCAAGCAAUCAAUAUUUACAAGCCUGGUCUACAAAAGCAGCCCCAUAAGUAUCAAAUGUAUCACAGUGAUCUCAAUAACAAGCAUCAGCCCCUAGCUAGCUCCGACAAGCUACUGCUCCCCUUGAUCAGCACCUUCCUCCCCGCCUUCACCUUUUGCUUCCUCCUCCUUGGUCUGCGGAAACAUGAAGACCAACAUCAGGUGAAAUACGAGACAAAACAAAACAAAAAAAAACUACGACCUUUGCAAGCCGCUCCUGAGCCACCAGCCUCGUUUACUCUCACCCAGAAGUAGCCCAAAGCUAUUUGAAAAAAAUUCAUCUUCGUGGCCCUCACAUUUUUUUUAUUUCUCCCUUGCACCAAGUUCGGAGGCUGAGGGGAACUUGUAGGAGUGGGCCGCAACUGUCAAGAAAUGAGAGCAACUAUUCUCUUCAAGAAGCUGGAACAUGCUAUCAAAGCAGAACGAGGCUGCAAAGUCGCUAAUACUGAUUAUAACCGCAGGCAGGCCUUUGAUUUUCUCAUCCAUCCAAUCAAACAUUGCCUUAGCAACUUCAUUGCUUGGAAAUGGAAGAGGCUCUGCACCGAAAUCGACAAGAGCAGCCUUGUAUCCUUCAUAAAUCUCGGCAAACCUUUUCUGAAUAAUCUGCUCCGCAUCCUCAAUAAAGAUCUUCAGCUGCAGAAGCUUUUUGCCGAGGACAUGAAUGGGUUGGCCUCAGGGUGCAGAGGGGGCGCAGCAACCUUGGUCUGAGCUUCCGUUUGAGGGACGCUUGCCUCGGGAACUGAAAAAGGAACCACAGAUAAGUCCACAUCUAGAACAACAUCAUCAUCAAUGGCCUUGCCGAUGCGCCGGCAGACUUGAGUUCGGAUUUUGUCGCAACCGGGACAACUUUGGAGACAGGGGGCGCGCAGGAUUUUGCAACCUCGCUCGAAGUGCCUUGUCCAAGCUUUUCUUUCUUCUUCUGAGCCUUGAGGCUGGAGGUCUUUAGUUUCGCUUUUGCAGCCUCGAGCACAACGAUCGCUUGGCUGUCAUCCUUCUUUGAAGUCCCUUUCGUGACCUUAGGAGCAAUCCUCUCGACUUUCCUCUUUUUCCCUUUGCCACUGCCACCAGCCUGCUCCGAGCCUAUUGUGCUAUUUUCUCGCAUCCGUUUUGAAAUCUUACAAGGUUUGGGGUGAGGCGCAACCUCGACCCCAAGUUCUUCAAACACACGAUUGACUUGAAGCUCGUGUGCGACGAUCCUCCGGGCUGAUGACAGCUCAGUCUUAGUGCAGGGGCCAAUAAUAUCAAUGUCAUGUCUCUCAAUAUCCUCUGCAAAAAGACCGGGGUUGGCACCCUUGGGCAGCUCCACCCCGAAGCGAGGGCAAGGGAGUGGGCUAGUACUCCACGGAACCUCCUUCGGCACAAUCUCCAGCAGACACCACCCAUUGGAAAGGGGCCAGAUGUUAGCUGCCACAUACUCUUCAAUGAGAUCCCGCCCGGGGAUCAACUUCAAGGCUAGGAGGAAAGUGCACUCGUGUUCCUUGACUACCUUGGACCUCGUAAAAGCAGAGGUAGUACUAAUGUCCAUAGGGCCUAAGGGAGCAUAGAAGGGAUAGAAAGGUCGGCUGAUACCAGACGCAUCGGCCAUGUCAAUCUUGAUAUAGAACCAGUAGCUUAGCCAAUCGUCUUCCCACCUAUUCCUCUAUGCAUAAGAAAGCUCAAUCCUCUUGAUUCCCUGCUUCUCAUUGUUCUUCCUCUGAGUCACGAAGGUACAACACCCAAACCGUGUCUCAAAAAUACCUUCCUCAUCAUCGAACAUAACUCUCUUCCUCUGGAUAUGGAGUGAUAUUUUACCAUAGUAGCAAAGACUCAUAAUCCAACUUAUAUAAUUUAGGUGGAUUAUAAUCCCAAACAAACAAGCCCUUAUUCUUGUAAUUUAUCCUAUACCUUCUAAUGCGCUUGAGUUAUAGAAAGCAUGUGCGACUCACACUGCUUGCUGCGUCAGUCACGCUUGCAAACGUGCAUGCUACUUGCACCACGCUGCUCGAUCGUUAGCUAGUAGUUUGUAGCACUAAUUAGGUCAUGUUAUCAUUUUCUAUCAACGAAUAUAAUCAGAAGCAAGCAUACACGUACGUGAUGGCACAAUUGUGUACAGCGGAUGCCUAUAUCUUGCUAGACUACUAGGAUAGAGUACGUUUGGAAUGUCGAUGCUAAUCAUAGCGAUCAAAACGCGCUAGAAAAAAUGGAUAAAUCCUCCCUUUUUUUGUUCUCGACCAUUAUGAUUCCUUAUGGUAUUUGGAUGGAAUAAACUUGGGGAUACGAGUGAGUGAGCGAGCAACACUUUAUUUUUCGAUAUGAUCCCAAGUUGCAUGCUUUUUUUUUCCCAGGUGCAUAGUUGUAUGAUGCUUGAGCUAUAGCAUUGCCAAAUUCAUCACUGUUUCCCCUAUUACACUGGUAUUUUCUUCACAUCAAAUGGAUCCACUAGCCGAGCUAUUUUUUUUGUUGGAAAUCGAAAAGAUCUGUUGCAUUGAUUCCGAUUGAAUUUUACGACAAGCUUAGAGGUUGAUCCUGAUUCGGGCAGCAGGGCAAUCUUAUUUAUCCUAAUUUUUAUAUGGGGUUACUGAAUCAUUGCGAGCUCAUUAUGAACUGCCAGCAGUAGUCAACGGUACUCCUGCUAGCACCAAAUCUUUUAAUUCUAUUAUUGGUGUGGGUGUGGGUCAACCUGUUUACGUGUUGCAUGCGCGCUACUUGCACAACGGUACAUGAACUGAGGGGGGAACGUUGUUGAAAGUCUAGUCAUUCCUCACCGACCAAAUACUCCAGGUCAUCAGGAUAGUGAUCUCCAUGAAGAAGGGUACAUUCAGCUUGUGUUGGAUGGAGCUGAGUAUCCGGAGUGGAUGUCUGGUUGUAAUCGUUGUUACUCCAAUGGAUGACCAGCAGGUAUAGGAAUGCAUCUGAAAAAGAGAUGUGCCCUUGUCUUUCUUUUUUGAAGGAUGCAAAGCUCACAGGUAUAGGAGUCAAGGCUCAUUGUUUUCCUACCUAUGAUAUCCUUGUUACUUAGUCUGUCUUUAAUUAGCAGCCUGAAAAACACAUUAUGUUUCUUUUGGUAUUUCGACUUCCACAGCCAUCGGUGAAUUGGGUGGACACUUCUCGUGCCCGUCAAGGCCUUGUAAGUUUUCACAACUGAGAAGAGGGGGUUGCCCCAGAUGUAGGUCUACUAAUCUCUGUCCUGCUGAGUGACAACAUUCCUCAGUCUAUUUUGCAAAGUAGCUGUUGAUGGGCUUCCUCCAAGAGUGGCAGAUGGAAGUUGUGAGAUAGGGAAGGUCUGCUAAUGGCCUCUUUGUAUGUGAACAGAUGGAAGUUGCGAGUUAGGGAAGGUCUGCUAAUGGCCUCUUUGUAUGUGAUCAGCUUGUUUUUAGCAAACGAAAAGAGCUGGGGAAAUUCCAAGGAGAGAACUUGCUCGUUCCAAGUGUACAUCCAGAAUAAGACAGUGGAACCAUCCUAUUAACACCAAAAUUUGGAAAUAUGCUCUGGAAAGAAGGAAUCGGCCGAUGAUGCAGAAAAAUGACAAAAUCUCCUAAAUAAGGCUAUUUGUGAGCUGGCCAUAGAAAUCAGGAACAUGUGCAUGAAGAAAGAGAAAGCAAGAAAGCUAGAGGAAUAAAAGAAGGAAAUCAAUGCACGCAUGUACACGGCAAGAGUUCCAACAAUUUGACAUCCAAGGGAAGCGCACGUACGGGAGGUUAUCUUAUAGAAUAAAAUAUUCUGGAAAUAGGGUUGGUUAGGGAUAAGCUUGAUUAGAGAUAGAGUUGGAUUAGUUAGAGAUAGAGUUUUGAUUAGAAAAGAUUGUGAAUGUGACAUGCUUUGUACAUGGUUAGAUGCCAACUAUGUAACGUCAAAGGCCGUCCGUCCUAUAAAUAUAAAGGGUCGUGGCCAUUGUAAGACAUCACACGAUGAAGACACCAUAUUUACCUUUACGCAUCUACCUUUCAGCUUCACGCCAUUGCCCUAGGAGUAGGAGUAAUGUAGCUUCUUGACGAGUUCCUUCUAGCAAGCUGGGCUGCAUCAACCUCGAUCUCCAGCAAGAUGCAAGUUCCCAUCAUCAGGUGUACUAGACUUCAACUUCCGGCGUAUCGCUAUCGUUGGGUCUGGUUUCAUUUACCAGUUAUCGAGUAUCUUGGAUCCUUGACUUAUGGCACACUGCUUCUAUCUUGAUCUACGGUAUUCACAAUUAUCCUACCUUGAUUAAGUUUGCAUCGGCUGAUAUUUAUCUGUUCUAUCAUCUUACCGUCUAGUUUGCUUUAAUUAGCUCUAGAUCAUAUCAUCGUAGACGAUAGAUCACUUAAUAAACUGUUGCAUCUUAAUCUUGGUUACCCCUCGAGUGUUGUUGGAAUAGAGUUCUAUUGUGAUUGGAUUCAUCGGCUGGCGGGGUCUAAAUUGAUGUCCUGCUGAGUGUUUCUAGGCUACAACUACCGGGCGCAUCGUUGUGGUUUCACCUAGAGAUAUUGGUAGUGAUGUUAGUUUGAAUCUCAUUGGCUUGUGGCUCUGGCUAUGGUGGAGUGAGAGCUCGAUGGAGCUCUAUUUCCUAUUGGCUUUCUAGCCGAUAGUUUUUGCUAUAUUAUGGUGAAUUGGCUUCGAUAGCCGAUGAGACACCCAUGCUCAUCAAGAUAUUGGAAUCAGCUUCAUAGCCGAUACAUUUAUUCACUAUGCUUUAUUUUGCUACGUCGUCAUCAUCGCUGGUGCCAGGAUCAUAUCAGCGUGAUCGGCCGAUUUCCUUGAACUUCGAGAGGAUUAUUUUCACCUUGUCAGUUGAAUGGUCAAACUUACUGGCACGCCUGCGUAUACCACGCGCACCGAUCUACAACCUGUACUUGAGCGAAGCAGUACUCUCAGGUUUCGUGUGUUAGUACGUGAAGGUCACCGCAUGAUUUUUGCAUCAACACACUUUCCGAAACCCAUACUAAGGCUAUUCCUUUGUAUUUCUCCAGUUAUUUAACUAUGUCUUUGCACCAGAAUGAGCCUUUUUGUUUAUGUCCAGGCAGUUUCCCAUUAUGAUAGUAGUUGUCUCAGACUAAAUGUACCCAUGGGAUGUCUGCCUUCAUGAAGAACUUAUGGAGGAACUUGAGCAGGAGAGCCUCAUUUUGGCUAUUCAGAUUAAUGACUCCAAGUCCUCCUUGCUGUUUGGGCAGGCAUACCAUAGGCCAGGCCGCCUUGGAUGGCUUUUUAGAUGACAAGUCAGAUCCUCGCCAGAGGCAAUGCUUCCUAUAUUUGUCCAAUUGAGAGAUGACCCCUUGUGAAGCUUCAGAGUAGCCAUAUGGAACAUUGGUGAGGACGAGAACACCGAAUUAACCAGCUCUAGUUUGCCUCCGUGGGAUAGCAUGUUGGAGAUACCCCCUAUCCUUCUCUCCACUUUCUUGAUUAGGGGUAGAAAUUCCUCAAUAUUAGGCAUCGUUGUUCCUAGUGGGAGUCCCAGGUAAGUGAAAGGAAAGCUUACAACCUGACCGUCAAAACUGAUGAGAGUUGUUGUAGUUUUUCCUCAAGAGUGUUCAGGGGGACCAUAAUAGAUUUGUUGUAAUUGACCUUAAAUCCUAUUGAGUUUGCAAAAAGGUUUAGCAAAUGCUUUAGAUGCAGCAGCUGAACUGGGUCAGCUUCCAUGACCAGUAAGGUAUCAUCUGCAUAUUGGAUAACUAGGAAAUCUAGACUAACUCUUUUAGGUAUUGGCAAUAGUAAGCUUCCUUCCUCUUUGGCCUUAUUCAAUAUAGAUUGAAGGAGGUCCACUGCUAGCACAAAGAGGAGUGGAGACAGCAGAUCCCCUUGCCUAACCCCUCGUCUGUAGUGGAAGACUUUUCGUGGUACUCCAUCGAGUAGAAUUGAGGAUGUUCUAGAACCCAGGAUGUCCUUAAUCCAUCCUUUCCAUCUAUCCCCAAAGCCCUUGUGUUUUAGGAUGUCCAAGAUGGCUUGGUGUUCUAUUUUGUCAAAUGCCUUCUCAAAGUCAAGCUUGAGAAUGAUGAGCUCCUUCUUGGAAGUCUUACAAAUGUGUAGAUAUUCAAAUGCUCAGGCUAAACAAUCUUGAAUAGAUCUGGAUUUUAUGAAACCAUAUUGGUUUCGAUGCACUAGUCUUAGGAUGAUCUUCUGAAGCCGUUGUGCUAGGAUCUUGGUUAUUAGCUUGAUGGUUGAGUUAAAGAGGGAGAUAGGUCUGAAAUCUCCGACUUCCAUGGGGCAAUCUUUGUUGGGGAUGAGUGUGAUGUAGGAGGCAUUGAUACUUUGAACACAUACUCUUUUUUCGUAGAACCCCUCACAUAAUUCAUAGAAGUCUUCAGCAAUUACCUACCAGCAUGUCUUGAGGAGUUCCCCAUUGAAGCCAUCUGUGACAGGUGACUUGUUGCUUGGAAGAUCCUUGAUAAUUUGGUCAAUUUCUUAUUUUGAGAAGGGAUCUUCCAGCCAUUCUAAAUCCAGAACUGGUGUCAAAAGAGAGGGGAGUUCAAAGUACAUGUGGGUAAUUAAGAUCUCAUCCUUUCUUUGUAAGCUUCCCAAAGGAGGCAAGCUUUAGCUUCAUGAUCGGAGAAAGACUGCCCAUUGGCAUAUGUUAGUGAGGAGAUGUAAUUGAUCCUAUUGUUGAUAGAGGCCCGAGCAUGAAAAAAUCUUGUACUUUCAUCCCCCAUUUUUUGCCCAGUUAAUAGAGUUUUUCUGCUCCCAAUAGACCUUUUGUUGACGAAGAAGGCUAUUAAGAUGUGAUGAUAUGAUUUCCCUAAAGUUCCACUCCUGCGGGGUGAGGUCUCUGGUUUCUUCGAUGAUAUCUAAGAACUGCAGGACAUCUUUUGUGUUCUGAAUUAUUUUGGCCAAACUGGGAAGUUGAGACUUCCAAGUCCUAAAAACCUUUCUCAUGGUUUUGAAUUUGGCUCUAUGUUCUUUGCCUUGUCAGAGCUGGGAAAAGGUGACACCCAUCCUUGUUGGAGAAUGAAAGGGGAUUGAUCAUGCUCUAGCCAGUAGUUCUCAAAAUGGAAGACCUGUGGUGUUGGUAGGCUAUUAGAGAUCGACACAAUGCAAGGGAUAUGAUCCGACGAGUCCCUGGAUAACGAGGGAAAAAUGUGUUGGGAUAAGUUAUAAUCCAAGAGCUAGAGAUGAAAAAUCAGUCUAGUCUAUCUAGCAAGGGGAUGAUUUGUUUGUUGGACCAAGUCUACUUGCAACCUUUAAGUUGUAUCUCUGUUAACCUAAGCCUGCUAAUUGCUUCCUUGAAGAGAAGCAUUUCCUAGACAUUUCCUCCCGGUUUGUUUUUGUCCUCUGGUUCCCUGAGAAGAUUGAAGUCCCCAACUAUUAACCAUUUUUCAUCCUCAGGCAUUUCUAUCCGUUUGAACCAAUCUAUAAAAGACAUCUUCCCCUCUGGGGUGCAAGGAGCGUAAAUAUUAGUGAGGAUCCACCUGUCUCCUUAUAGUUUGCAUUGUAGUUCGAUGGACUGAGCAAAGUUGUUUUGGAAGAUCACCCUUGAGCUUGGAGCCAUUCCAUGCUAUUAGAGUGCUCCCCGAGUUACCGGUGGACGGGAGAAAGUCAAACAGAUCUAGUUGGGGGUGGCAGAAAUUCUACUGUUUGCCGAGUGUCAUCUAGGGAACACUCGGCAAAGAAAAUUUAUAUUUCAUGCACCACUCUCCUCCUUCUUCAUAACGUGUUCUACUAAAUUUAUUACGAUGAACUUUGAAAAUACCUUGUCAAAUUCACUCAACAAUGCAUAAUUGAUUUUUCUAUGAAUAUGAUUCCAUUAGUUCAUGCAGUUAUAGCUCAAAUUCAAUUUAUAUCAAUUAAAAUUUUAUAAUUGCAGUUAAUAAAUCAAAAUUAUCAAACAGAUCCGGAAAAUUUACCAAAAUUUGACAUGAACCAAUCUAUGUUGUCUAUUGCCUAUACAAAAAAGUUUUGAAGUCAAACCCCAAUUCAAUCGUCAAUUUGACUCAAAAUAUUACGGGAUCCUUCUCAACGCUAUGAUUCUUCUUCGGAGAUGCUUCGGUUUGUAAGCAUCGUACGUGACAAAUUAUGUGAAAUCUUCUCAAUUGUUUACCACAGCCUCCACAUAUGAUAUCAUGAGAUCUUGACAAAUCUCGUGAUUUUCAUACUUCGUUUGAUUCUUUUAGAAUUUAAAAAUCAUUCAGCCACACGUUCAUGUUCGUAUUUCUAGAACAAGAUGUUCGAAAUUUCCUUUCAUUUCCUGGGUAAGGCCUCACACUGGACUCAAAAAUAUGAAUAUUAUUUUUCCACUCAUUUUAUUCCAUUAUUUGAAUCACUUAUAUAGCAAUAAAUUAAUUAAAUAUAGCAAACAGAUUGAGAAACAUAUCAAGGGGUACCACAUGUUGUAUGUGGAAAGUAGAAAAGUGUGGAGGGCAGGGGAAGGAAAAAACUUAUUAUUUUGUCGAGUGCCUGGUCCCAACACUCGGCAAACAUAGGUUAUUGCUGAGUGCCUGAUGAAAACACUCGGCAAACAUAAGUUGUUGCCGAGUGUUGCUAACGGACACUCGGCAAAGUUCUAACGGCCAGCACGCCGUUUGGCAAGCGUCGCAUGUGCCGGUCACAUGGUGGGUACUUGCCGAGUGUCCGUUCUUUGCCGAGUGUCAUAUUGGUUUUUGCCGAGUGUUUUCUCUUUGACACUCUGCAACUACGUUUUAUGUCGAGUGCAAUAUAUACGCCUAGUGUUUCCAUGGAGACACUCGGCAAACUCCUCCUUUGCCAAGUGCCCGAUGAAAUACACUCAGCAAAUGAAAAACACUCAACAUAUCUAUUGUUUCUGGGAGUGAGGUGUCAACAAGUUGCAAGAAGAGUAAAAUCUUCUAAGCACGACUAUUUGGGGGCUAUACAAAUCGAUCUCAACAGCACUAACCUUGACUGGCAUAUAGCCAUUCGCUGUUUGUAGAAAGCAUGUGCGACUCACACUGAUUGCUGCAUCAGCCACGCUUGCAAACGAUGCUACUUGCACAACGCUGUUCGUUUGCAAUCUAGCUGUAUGUCAGGGGGUCAACCGUGUUAACGUGCUAGGCGCUACAAGAAAUUUUAUGCCUAAAAGAAAGACCUCUAUAUAAAUCAUACAAGUUACCUCUUGAAAAGACCUCUAUGUAAAGCAUAUUCUAGUAAUGUAGUACUGGGUGAGUAAGGAUAAUUGCGGAAUGUAAAGUGUCCUCCGAGACACUAUAAAAGAUUCGGUCGUCGGUGUCGAGCCUCGCCCACGAGGGGCUACUGUUGGGGAUCGUCCAAAAAAGAUGGUCACCCUUGAGGUCGUUUUGUUUACCAUGAUCAACUCAGCCCCGCAAAAUAAGUAGCCUUGGGUGAGGGUUCCUAACCUCGAGGAACAAAUCUGGCAUGAAAGAAAGCUCUAACCUCGUGACGCUGCCGCGAGGUCAGUCUCGAAGCCGGGAAACAAUUACUGAUUGUCAAGCACUGAUGAAGCUUACCCUUGAGCGCUCAAAGCUGACUCCGAGCGCCGAGUUGUCCACUAUCUUAUGCAGGGUCGUUGAAACAAGCCGAGGUUCACGGCGCGGAGGUGGGGUCUCUUUGGCCCGAGGCUAAGGUGGUCUCGGGCCAGAGGUCAAAGUCAUGGAGGUGCUAAAAACGUGGGAGCAUGAUUCGCGGGACUUGCUGAGAGCGUGAUUCGCGGGAUUGCCUGAAGGCGUGGGAAGCAUGAUUAAAGGAGGAGACCAAGUCAUACAAGUUACCUCUUAAAAAGACCUCUAUGUAAAGUAUAUUCUAGUAACGUAGUGGGUGAAUAAGGAUAAUUGCGGAAUUUAAAGUGUCCUCCGAGAUACUAUAAAAAAGGAGAGCCCUACCCAAUGUAACGUUACAUUCAUUUUCAUGGAAUUGAAUCGCAGCAACUGAAACUUGUUUCCCAACAUCAGCACUGUUUCCCUAUAUUACACUUGUAUUUUCUGCACAUCAAAUGGAUAUGCACAUCAAAUGAGCUAUUAUUUCCGUUCGAAACCAAAAAGAUCGAUAUGUUGCAUUGAUUCAGAUUGAAUUUUACGCCAAGCUUACAUGGUGAUUCUAAUUGAAUUAUUUAUCCUAAUUUUUAUAUGGGGUUGCUGAAUCAGGCGAGCCCAUUAAUUAGUAACACAUCUUGAUGUGUCGGCGGGUCAACCGUGUUAACGUGCAUGCUACUUGCACAACUGUAUUAUACUCUCACGAUGGACAAAUUUUCUGCCUACAAAUAGCGCAUCUGCAUUGCUAUCCCAACAUGCACUUCUCCUCCUCUCCAUCUGAUCUCUUCCUAUAGCUAUAGCUGCAACAACUAGCUAGUCCUGAUCACCAUGGCUGCCGCGAUGCUCAAGAUGGCCAUUGUUGCCGCCUGCAUCGCGCUGGCCCUGCUCUCCAUGGGUCCGCCGGCGGCGAUGGCGGACAUCCAGGACGACUGCCGCGCGACUUGCCGUGGUCUCUGCGAUGGCUUCGGUACGAACACGUGCAAUAACAUCAUUGCCAUCGCCCCUGCUGUCCUGAACAAUAUCAACUUCUUCUUCACGACGUGCAAAGUGAGGGUCUCUGGGCUGUGCGCGUCCUUCUGCGUCACUACCUGCAGCCUCAACACCGUGACGCCGGCCAGCCCGCCGCCACCACCAUGCAAGCCAUAAUUGGUCCAUGCGUAUUACUACAGCAUGAAUGUAAUUCAAGUCCCGGCCGUAGAUCCGGGUAAUUUGCGUUCAAUUCUAAUUUCCCUUUGAUUGUUCCGGUUGUCGUGUCACCAAGUACUAGUCAUGCAUUAUUGUGCACACCUGCAUAUGUAAUUUUAUUUGAAAAGGUUAUUACCUAUCUUGAGAAAUUUACGGCUAUUAUUUUUACCGCGAUAUAUUUACCUGCAUUGUACCUUCCAUCACAUUACUAUGGUUAAUUUUUCUAUUUCUCUAUCUUCUAUCUCUUCCCAAAAGUUUGAGCUGAUGUGCUCCUCCCUCCUCUCGGACACAAUUCCACUACUGGAUACUCCCUCCAUUUUUAUUUAUAAGGUGCACACACAUAUCAAGAUUCAAACUUUGCAAUCUUUGACCAAUAACAUGACCAUUAAUCUUUUAUUUGUAUAAUAUAAACUUUGUAUGGUUGGAUUCAAAAUCAAAUAUACUCUACUGUGAUUAUAAGUUUAUAAUCAUAAGUAAUAUAAUAUAAGAAAAAUGAAUGUCAUCAAAGUGUUAUUUAGAAGAUCGUGCCAAAUAAUACUAUACCUUAUAAAAAUAGAUGGAGGGAGUACUACCCUAACUGCAUUAAAUAGAUCGUUGAUGUUUCGCCACCAAAACCCCCAAUGUUGAUCUUCCACCACCAUGGCUAGAGGCACAACGCCACACAACCCCCACCCUACCCCCCCCCCCCCACUCCGAUGCCUCCAGCAGGCUAGCAUACGCCCAUGGUCUCCCCCUAAGCGUGCGCCUCAUCCAACCUGAACCCUAAACAUCGCCAAUAAAAAUUGGACAACAUAGCUACAACCCUCGACUGUAUGUGGUCGCAGAGGCUUGAUAUUUUUUUUCCACUUUCUAAAAAAACAAUAGCAAACCCUGCCGAUCGUGAUAUGGACAGUCAGCAACCCUAUUUCUCCGAAUUUUCAUAUGCAGGGACUGGAUGACACGUUCAUUAUAAACUCCCUCAGUCAAUGGUGCUCAUUAGAAAAUGUUACACAUGCUGGUACGCUGGUGUGUAUGCAUGUAAUAUCUCAUUAACUACUACAACGAAUGAAAUGCAUGCUCAUCCUACUGUAAUGCAUUCAAACGACUCUAAGGGCCUGUUUGUUUCCCUCCUGGAUUAUAUAAGAGCAACUCCAAGAGUUCCCCAAAAAAUUCUUCCCCAAAACGAGGUAUUGGGAGCUAUGCUAAAAAUUUUUUCCCCAAAAAACAUAUCAGCCCGGAGCAGAUCGCUAAAAACUACUCCUCAAUAAUUUAAAAGAGGCCACGUCAUCGGAUUGGGCCAAUUAGUAUCGGUUGAUUUUUUUUCUCUAGUACCGUGUCCUGAGCCCGUCAAAAAUCCUUCUCCGGUACCCUAUCACGCCGCCUGCCUGUGCGCACGGAGGUCCCACGCCGCCACCCCCCUGCGCAUGGUGGACUAACUCUGGCAGCCCCUGCGCGGCAUUCCUGAUGCCAGCAGGCCUGCAUCCUGCAUCCUCCGUGCACUGCGCUGGAUCAAAGUAAUGAUUAACUUCGCAGCAUCAUUUUCAUUUUGUCUUUUUGUUGCGAUCAGCUUUGACAUGCUAUAAUGAGGAUUCUAUCGUAAUGAGGUUUUUGUGGCCGCCAAUACCUAGGAAAAACAGUUCCUUCGAUCACCAACUUGAAUUGAAGAUAGGUAAAAAGGAAUUGCUAUGAAUCGAUGAAGCCUUUCGAUGCAUCUGGUGUUAGAUUCGUCGUCAGAUAAUGACGAUGAUGAUUUCUUAAUCUCUAUCAUAGGUCGUCAAGUACUUCAGCGAGAUAGACAGGCAGGGCAUCAAAGGUUGUAUCAAGAUUAUUUUUCAGAUGAUCCUACGUACGGACAUAGUUAUUUCAGAUGACGGUAUGUAAACAAUAGAUUUAUUUGGACCAUUUUUUCAAAAAAUUCAUAUUAUACAUGUGUCUCAUUACUCUUGACAUGCAGGUUUCGAAUGAGGCGUACACUGUUUGUACGCAUAUGGAAUGCCGUAGAGCAACAUGAUGAAUAUUUCAUGCAGAAAAGAAACGCUGCCGGUGUACUUGGCCUUUCUAGUCUGCAAAAGAUUACUGUAGCAUUUCUGAUGUUAACUUAUGGAGUAGCAGCUAAUGCUACAGAUGAUUAUGUCCGUAUCGGUGAGAGUACUGCUAUUGAGAGUCUGAGAAGGUUUGUCAGUGCUGUUGUUGAGGUUUUUGGAGAUGAGUACUUGAGAUCACCUAAUGAAGAUGAUACUGCUAGAUAACUUGCCAUUGGAGAGAGUAGAGGUUUUCCUGGUAUGCUUGGGUCGAUUGAUUGUAUGCAUUGGAGGUGGAAAAAUUGUCCUUUGGCAUGGCAAGGUAUGUAUACUGGGCAUGUGCAUGAGCCUACAAUUAUACUUGAAGGUGUUGCAAAUAAAGAUCUUUGGAUUUGGCAUGCUUUCUUUGGGAUGCCUGGUUCCCACAACGACAUCAACGUUUUGCACCGGUCUUCUUUAUUCGCACGGCUAGCUAAAGGUCAAGCUCCAAAGGUGAAUUAUACCAUUAAUAACAAUAAAUAUACAAUGGGUUAUUAUCUUGUUGAUGGCAUAUAUCCCUUGUGGGCCACAACUGUGAAGAGCAUACCUGAACCACAAGGUAACAAGAAGAAAUAUUUUGCAACUGCCCAAGAAAUUUGUAGGAAGGAUGUGGAACGAGCGUUUGGGAUUUUACAGUCUCGUUUCGCUAUCGUUAGUGGGGCAGCUCGAUUUUGGGAUCAAGACACCAUCGGACAAAUUAUGAGGGCUUGUGUCAUUAUGCACAACAUGAUAGUUGAGGAUGAGCACGAUGAGGAAGAUGAUUUAAAUUAUGAUGGGGUGGGAGAAAAGGUGAAGAUUUCUCACGAUGAAACACCUGAGCUUGAGGAGUUUAUUAAAAAUUACAAGAAUAUAAGGGAUAAAGAUAUUCACAAUCAGCUUCAAGAUGACCUCAUUGAGCACCUAUGGCAACAUCAUCCAGACCUCUACAAAUGAUUUGCCUAUAGUUCAUAGUAAAUGUUACUUUCAAUAAUUUUUGCUACGUUAUAAUUUUUUUAUAAUUUGAGAUAAACCAUACAGACAUAAACAAUUUGUUGGUACAUUACUACUAAUUUAUUGGAUGUUUGCAUACUGUCUCUUAAGUUUGUAGAGUGCAAAAUUAUGCUGCCUGACUUUACAAGGCAAACCAUGCAGUUUGCUUCAGAACACCACAUAAAGCAUCACUGAAUUACCAAACCAAGCAAGCCAUCAUUAUUAUAACAGAACAAGUCUGAAAACAGUGUAACACAUCUAGCAUCCGUUUAACUGUGUUCAUUAAUGCUCCUAACUGUGAUUAAGAACAAUCAAAAUAUCAAAAUAGGCAGUAAUGAACUAAUCAUUACAUCAAGCUGCAACAUCUGCAUGCAUAUCUACCUGACUUGGCACAACAUAGGGAGCUAUAGAUUGUCUUCUUGUUAGUCUUUGAACCUGAUUCUCAAGAUAUUUUGGUAUGCCGUCUCUCAGAGGCAUUCAGAGUCUCCAUGUAUUGCUACUCUAGUGUCUUCAUAAUUUCUCUUUCCACAACAGCAACAGCCUGAAUAUAAGAAAUAUCAAUUGAAUCCAUUGCAAUAGUACGCACAUUUAUGCUAUCAAUAAUUAAAAAUAUCAAAUGAUGUGUAGUUUCAGAUUCUCCAAAAUGAGACAUAAGCUUGUCAACAAAAUCUCAUAUGUUCAAAAUUGAAUGGCUUCAAUGCUGUUCCUAACUUCAAAGUAUCAACAGGAAAAAUUAAUAUUCUUACAAGAUGCUUUGCUAUUGAGUUGUUGUUCAUCUCUUUCUGUAUCCAAGAUGGCGGUCCAAUCUCAUAGACAGCCCUUGUCCUAUUUUCUGUUCGAUAUUUGUUCGAGAAAAUAAAUGGCAAUGCCGUGUUACAACAAUCCUGGGCUAAACAGGUCAAGACUCAUUGCCAGGUUGGGCAUCGGAAUCAGGCUGCUUCUGGUGGCUGCUGCCAUCGCUGUCGUUUUGCUCAUUCAUAUCCUUAUUAGUAUAUUAUGUUUACCACACAUAAAGAAAAAAUAAGAUUGAGCAUUUCAAAGAUGAUCCCCAUAACUUAUCCACCAACCACAAAUUUAAAAAUCAGUGUGAAGACCCUAUAGCUUGCUGCUAGCUAUUCUUUUGUUGUUUACUAAGUUUAAAGGACGGUGUUCAGAGGAACCCAGGAAAUUUUUAGCUGAACAUGGAAAAUGGAAACAACAGGGCAUCAAAUAGUUUGUCUCUGGAAUUGCUACUUCAAAAUGGUUAUCUAGAAUAGCAUUAUCAAUACAGUGAAUAUAAAAAAACAGUAUUUGGUUCUACAAAGCAAGAAAUACUGUACCAACUAAACAAGACAUAUCCUCAAAGAUCAAGAUUUUAGUAUAAUUAUUAUACUUCAUAAAGAUAAGCAAAUACAUGUCGAGGGACUGUACCCUUUGAUCUCCUCAGGCUGAAUAAGAUAUGCCAUUCUGAGAACUGCCUGCAUAUUGACAGAUUACACCCAUCAUCUUAUGAAAAUAGAUAUGCAAUUCUAUUAGUCUUUAUCAUGAAAAAGAAACAAGUCCUCAGAUGCCUACCGUCUUCCUUUCCAUCAUUGUCCUUUGAGUGUGAAUCCUAUUACAGCAAAAUUACUCAUACGUCUGAAAGAAGUGUUAUGACAAGAAAGAAUUCUCCGCGCAUAUGCCAUGGAGUGGUGUGCAACAAGAGGGAAUCAGGGAAUCAUACCUGCUCGGGAGGCUCGGGGAAGCCUUGCUGCUCGGAGUCGACGGCGACGGCUCGAUGGAGACUACCAAAGUGCCGCGGCGGGUGGGAGACGGUGACGGAAGGGGCUGGACAGGUGCCGGGCGCGAAGCAGGCAUGGGAGCAGGGCAGCGCAGUGCGUGGCGGCGCGGGGGCCAUGUAGGGGUGGUGGGAGAGCGUCUUUCCACCAAAAUGAGCCUUUUUGUUUAUGUCCAAGCAGUUUUCCAUUAUGAUAGUAGUUGUCUCAGACUAGAUGUACCUAUGGGAUGUCUGCCUUCGAGAAGAACUUAUGGAGGAACUUGAGCAGGAGAGCCUCAUCUUGGCUAUUCAGAUUAAUGACUCCAAGUCCUCCUUGCUGUUUGGGCAGGCAUACCAUAGGCCAGGCCGCUUUGGAUGGCUUUUUAGAUGAUAAGUCAGAUCCUCGCCAGAGGCAAUGCUUCCUAUAUUUGUCCAGUUGAGAGAUGAACCCCUUGUGAAGCUUCAGAGUGGCCAUAUGGAACAUUGGUGAGGACGAGAACACCGAAUUAAUCAGCUCUAGUUUGCCCCCGUGGGAUAGCAUGUUGAAGAUACCCCCUAUCCUUCUCUCCAGUUUCUUGAUUAGGGGUAGAAAUCCCUCAAUAUUAGGCUUUGUUGUUCCUAGUGGGAGUCCCAGGUAAGUGAAAGGAAAGCUUCCAAUCUGACAGUCAAAAACUGAUGAGAGUUGUUGUAGUUUUUCCUCAGGCGUGUUCAGGGGGGCCAUAAAAGAUUUGUUGUAAUUGACCUUAAGUCCUGUUGAGUCUGCAAAAAGGUUUAGCAAAUGCUUUAGAUGCAGCAGCUGAACUGGGUCGGCUUCCAUGACCAGUAAGGUAUCAUGUGCGUAUUGGAUAACUAGGAAAUCUAGACCAGCUCUUUCAGGUAUUGGCAAUUGUAAGCUUCCUUCCUCUUUGGCCUCAUUCAAAAUAGAUUGAAGGAGGUCCGCUACUAGCACAAAGAGGAGUGGAGACAGCGGAUCCCCUUGCCUAACCCCUCGUCUGCAGUGGAAGACUUUCCCUGGUACUCCAUUGAGUAGAAUUGAGGAUGUUCCAGAACCGAAGAUGUCCUGAAUCCAUCCUAUCCAUCUAUUCCCAAAGCCCUUGUGUUUUAGGAUGUCCAAGAUGGCUUGGUGUUCUAUUCUGUCAAAUGCCUUCUCGAAGUCAAGCUUGAGAAUGAUGAGCUCCUUCUUGGAAGUCUUACAAAUGUGUAGAUAUUCAAAUGCUCAGGCUAAACAAUCUUGAAUAGAUCUGGAUUUUAUGAAACCAUAUUGGUUCCGAUGCAGUACUCUUAGGAUGAUCUUCUGAAGCCAUUCUGCUAGGAGCUUGGUUAUUUUCUUGAUGGUUGACUUAAGGAGGGAGAUAGCUUUGAAAUCUCCGACUUCCAUGGGGCAGUCUUUUUUGGGGAUGAGUGUGAUGUAGGAGGCAUUGAUAUUUGCACGCAUACUCUUUUGUCAUAGAACCCCUCACAUAAUUCAUAGAAGUCUUCAGCAAUUACCUGCUAGCAUGUCUUGAGGAAUUCCCCAUCGAAGCCAUCUGGGAUAGGUGACUUGUUGCUUGGAAGAUCCUUGAUAAUUUGGUCAAUUUCUUCUUUUGAGAAGGAAGCUUCCAGCCAUUCUAAAUCCACAACUGGUGUCAAAAGAGAGGGGAGUUCAAAGUACAUGUGGGUAAUUAAGAUCUCCCCAUCCUUUCUUUGUAAGCUUCCCAAAAGAGGUGAGCUUUAGCUUCAUGAUCAGAGAAAGACUACCCAUUGGCAUCUGUUAGUGAGGAGAUGUAAUUGAUCCUAUUUCUGACAGAGGCCCGAGCAUGAAAAAAUCUUGUACUUUCAUCCCCCAUUUUUUGCCCAGUUAAUAGAGCUUCUCUGCUGCCAAUAGACCUUCUGUUGAUGAAGAAGGCUAUUAAGAUGUGAUGAUAUGAUUUCCCUAAAGUUCCACUCCUGCAGGGUGAGGUCUCUGGUUUCUUCAAUGAUAUUUAAGAGCUGCAGGACAUCUUUUGUGGUCUGAAUUGUUUUGGCCAGACUGGGAAGUUGAGACUUCCAAGUCCUAAAAACCUUUCUCAUGUUUUUGAAUUUGGCUCCUAUGUUCUUUGCCUUGUCAGAGCUGGGAAAAGGUGACACCCAUCCUUGUUGGAGAAUGAAAGGGGAUUGAUCAUGCUCUAGCCAGUAGUUCUCAAAAUGGAAGACCUGUGGUGUUGGUAGGCUAUUAGAGAUCGACACAAUGCAAGGGAUAUGAUCCGACGAGUCCCUGGAUAACGAGGGAAAAAUGUGUUGGGAUAAGUUAUAAUCCAAGAGCUAGAGAUGAAAAAUCAGUCUAGUCUCUCCAGCAAGGGGAUGAUUUGUUUGUUGGACCAAGUGUACUUGCAACCUUUAAGGUGUAUCUCUGUUAACCUAAGCCUGCUAACUGCUUCCUUAAAGAGAAGCAUUUCCUUGACAUUUCCUCCCGAUUUGUUUCUGUCCUCUGGUUCCCUGAGAAGAUUGAAGUCCCCAACUAUUAGCCAUUUUUCAACCUCAGGCAUUUCUAUCCAUUUGAACCAAUCUAUAAAGGGCAUCUUCCCCUCUCGGGUGCAGGGAGCGUAAAUAUUAGCGAGGGUCCACCUGUCUCCUGAUAGCUUGCAUUGUUGUUUCGGAAGAUAGGCUGACCCUUGAGCUUCGAGCCAUUCCAUGCUAUUAGAGUGCCCCUCGAGUUACCAGUGGAUGGGAGGAAGUCAAACAGAUCUAGUUGGGGGGUGGCAGAAAUUCCAGAUGUAUCUUGUGUCAAAAGAUUCAUGUUUAGUCUCAUGUAGACAAACAAUAUCGUAGUUGGACUCAGAAAUUUUACUUUUGACUACGUUCCAUCUUGUCUGGGAGUUGAUGCCCCUAACAUUCGAGGAUAACAUGUUCCAGGAUCUUUUUUGGUUCAUUUGGAAAUGGUGUGUGCUUGGUAAUACCUUACUGCCGGCUCAACAAACAGUGGCAAAAUAAGCGUGGAAAGGAUAAACCUUGAACCAAAAAGCCAAAAAGGAGGGGAUGAACCCCUCAAAUUCUUUGAAGCAACACAACCACAAUAAGGUAAAUCCCACAUUAACCAAACAGCAAAAUAACUAUUCCUAGGAAGUUUAAACCACCAACAUAGUGUGAUUUGCAACAUAAAGAUAAAUGAAAGAUACUUGUCUUCACUAAAAUAGACCAGCUGGAAGAUCUAACCAUGUCCCAGAUCCCUAGUGCUUCUUGAUUGUAUCCCAGGCGUUGUCUGUUUUGGCCCGAUAUUUCUUCGCUUUCCCCUUACGCGGAAUAUCCACCGAGGCCUUUUCCUUUCCAUCUCCAAUGGUCUUCUGAGAGGUGGGCUUGGAGAUCAAUAGAUCAUCAGUGGUUCAGGCAGAGUCGAUGCCACACACCUGCCCACCUAGGUCUUGAAUGCUUGAAGAAGAGAGAGAUGGUGGUGCUGCAUUGCAAGCGAGGCAGUUUCUAUCCUGGCAAUUUUUUUUGCGAAAUCCUCCCCUUCUAUCUUUGAGCCUAUUGCUUCUCCCGAUGCUAGACUCAACUUCCAGCACAGCCCUUGCUCCCAAUCUAGCCCUAGCUUUCUUUGGAGCCUUUUGUUUUUCUAGCUCAAGUCCGAUUCCUUCAGAGGAGAAGAAGUACCAGUCUCCUCCUACUCAUUAAGAAAAAUAACCGGGCUGCUACUGAGACACAAAGAACGGAUGGCGAAGGCCGUCAUGGCAAAUGAAUCAGUGCAGCUUAGCAAUGCCUCCUUGGCUCUGGAGGCUAGGAACUUCUUGGCCGAAUCGAAGUGUUGGGGGGAUAGCAACACCACUAUGAAGAAAUUGGCCCAAUGUGUUGGUAUGUGAACCACCUACUCAAGAUAUCCUACAGGAGAGAAAACAUGGGCCCAAAUCAUGUAGACAUUUGGAUUUUGACUUGGAGCUGAGGCCCUGGGGUGGUAAUGUCCUUGAUGCUAGGUCCAUCUGUCAGAGGAACUGAUUGUCUGAGUCUGCCUAAGAGAAGGUCCAGGUCAUGUGUGUUUGGUUGAACUGGGGUGAGGACCAUGUUGACAUUAAGAUUAACCUAAAAAGGGGCCUCCUAGGCUUGAUUUGGCAAAAUGCCCUGCUGUCCUGGGGGGAUGCCAGGCAACCCCAGCACCACAUCCUGAUCCAUCUCCAUAUCAUUGAGUUGAGCCCCAUCUUGUUCUGCAUGGAAGUCCAUAUUUUGGCCCAAUGGGGGCACUGCAGCCACCACAUCAUCCAAUUCCAUAAUCUGAUUGUUGAGAACCGGUGGGUCUUGCACGGUAGCUUGUGGAACCCUUGAAUUAUAGAUCACCACUGGAAGAGGAUAAUUGUCAGGAGCUGAAGAGCUCGAGGAGUUGGUUGGAGGAGACAGGUUAAGGUCACUGGUGGAGGGAGAGCCUGCACUCCACUCUCAACGACAACUGUUUUAAUAUUCCAAAAAUUUGAAAUAUUAUCAUGGUUGUAAUUUUCUCAAAAAUUUGAAAACUUUAUGUAUGGAUGUGUGCGUGUUGCAAACUACUCUAUCUCUCUCUCCUAAAUUCUAAAUUUGAAUAUGUGUGGCAUGAUUUGGAGUUAUGGAUCUUAUUUGGAGUUCUUGUUUGAGUGUUGUAUAAAAGCAAACUCAAUCCCUAAAUUCAAAUUCAUAUUCCAAAUUCAAAUAUGAAAUCAGAUAAAAACAAAAGCAAAACAAACUCCCUCAGCCAGGCCAGCCUACCGGCCCAAAACUGCUUUAAGCUCAGCUUGCCACGCUAAGUAACCAGGCCGCCUUCGGCCCAACUUCAACCACUGGCCCGCCUACCCUCUUUCCUCUUUUCCAGCUGCAGCGGGCCACCCACCUUUCUUUCUCUUUUGGCCCAGCCCAAAGCAACCAGCCCUCUUAACCCUUUCCCCUUAGCUUCGUGGGCCGCUCUUCCUUUCCUUCAGGCCGGCUCGCAGGCCACUUUCUUCUUCCACAAACCGCCAGCCCAGCCCGUCUCGAUCUCCCCUCUCCUGUUCUUCUUCAACCUCGCACGGACGCAAAAGCUUCACGCACAGGUGCACUACCUCGCAGCUGGGGGUGGCGUGUCCCGCUUCUGGAGGCUUCCACCAGGAGCUUCUGCUACCCCUACUCCACCACCUAACCCCGCUCCCAGGGCCGUCAGAUGCGCCGCAACGGGCUCCAGGUGCGCAACCCUAGGAUCAACGUCCGGGCUACUCUAAGCCCCUCCACUGCCUUGGCCAGGCUAUAAAAUGGGGCUUUGGGCAUGCCCUAAGGCCAUCCCAUCCGCUCCAGGGGCUGCCUGUCCACCACCGCCACCCAGUUGAGAGGAGGGCCGAGUUGAGAAGAAGGGUUGGGAGGAGAAGGAGGAGGCCCUGUCGGAGGAGUCGCUGCCGUCCGCGGGAGAAAAAUGGCUCUGUCCAUGUGAAGUGCCGUCGCCAACUUCUUCCUCCUCGCCGCCGUCUACCUCGUCUACUCUGCCGCCACCUCUUCUUCCCCUUCACCGAGACAGCCUCGUAAGCCUCCAAGAUCUCACCUUUCCCCUCUCUCCUGACUACCUGAAACCCUAAAGCCAUGGCCUUUGUGCUACCCUUUGCCUGCUCCGCCUGUGGAAGCGCUUUGUCGCCACUAUCCUUGCACUUGAGCUCGCGUGCACCUCCUUGCUUGCUCUGGCCUCGCUACUUGCGCUGCUCGCCUGGCUUGCCUUUGCCGUUUUUGCGUGCGCCAACUCUGCUGCUUGCCUUUGCAUGCACCGCGCCCGCACACCGCUCGAUCGUGUGCCCACAUCCAACUAACGCGACGUCGCGCGAGGUUCGCGGUCACCGCGGCCGCUGGCUGCGGCAUCGUGACACUGGUUUGCGGUCACCGCCUGCGCGUCGCGCCGCACAGCGUGUCGUUCGCGCACCAUAGCUCGCCGCCUGCCCGCCGUGCGCGCUCCGCACCUCGCCGUGACGCGCCACGGCGCGCCAACACUCGCCGCCGUCGUCGCAAGCCACGUGGCCACCCCAUCACCGCCAUGUGAUAGGUGGGGGCCCACCUGUGGGUCCGCUCGUGGGGCGUACCUUGUGGGGCCCACUGUUGACCUGUGGGGCCCAUGCGUUGACAGUUGACCAUUGACCCAGUAAUGCUUCUUUCUCCUCUUUGCAGGGUCCUCCUCGUAUGCAGUCCCUAUAAUGAAUUUGCAACAUGAGCAGUUGUACCUGAAUCAAUCCACCAAGUAUAUUUUGCAUAACUUAAAUACAAGGACUCAUCUACAAAUGUAAUAAGAUCCUCACCUCUAUAACACACAUGCUUCAGGAAAUCCACACAGCCUUUCUGGUAGUAUUCUUUCUUCUUGCACCACUUGCAAGUGUCCUUGUCCACCACCUCUUUAUGGUUUGAUCUUUGAUGGUGAUCAUGCAUUGGAGCCUUUCCAUGUGCCUUAGAAAAAGAGGCGUUCCACUGAGGUUUCCCUUGUGGCUUAGAAUUCUAAAGAUUCCGCUUCUUGUUUUGCCUCAGGUAAUUGACAGUAUCACCGGGCGAACCCUUAAGCCUCUCUUCUUCUUGCACACACAUGGCAAUCAUCUUCUUAAUACCCCACUUUUCUGGCUAUGAGUUGUAAUUCACAGCAAAGGUCUCAAACUCUUUGGGCAGUGAGGUAAAGAUUAGAAUGGACAAUAAACUCUUUUGGAAGCUCCAUUUCCAUAGACUUAAGCUUGGAAGAUAUAUUGUUCAUUCUCAAUAUGUGAUCCCUUAUUCCACUGCCAAUAUACUUCAUAGUAACAAGCUUUCUUAUGAGAGUGCUUGCAUAUGCCUUUGAUGAUCCAGUAAACUGACUCUCCACAUUUGUCAAGUACUCCUUAGAUCUACAACAGGGACUUCCUAGAGGGGAGAGUGAGAGGAUGACCGACCGUUGGGCUUCAUCAGAGGACGCCAUGGCGGUGUUGGUGACGGUGACGUUGACGCAGAGGUUAGGUGUUGGCGGUGCUUCCCGCCACUGACAUUAGGUGUUGGCGGUGCUUCCCGCCACUGACAGCAUCUCCAGUAGAUCAGCUAGAGUUUGUUGGUGGGUUUGGUGGGCACAGUGAAUCUUGGUUUGCGUGCCCUCGGCCUCCACCUUUCCUUUUAUUUGGCAAUGUGCGACGGGGCCCCACCAACCAUGACUGGUUGUGCGCCCCCGAUCAGGGCGCGAGAUAAGGCUCGGACUCGUCCGUUGGGGCGAGUCUGUUGGGAGAUCAAACUAACAAAUACAAGUGAGCGAGUGAGGGAGCAACACUUUAUCUUUGGAUAUGAUCCCAAAUUGCAUGCUUUUUUUUCCUAGGUGCAUAGUUGUAUGAUGCUUGAGCUAUAGCAUUGCCAAGUUCAUCACUGUUUCCCCUAUUACACAGGUAUUUUCUUCACAUCAAAUGGAUCCACUAGCCAUGCUAUUAUUUUUUUGUUGGAGAUCGAAAAGUUCUGUUGCAUUGAUUCAGAUUGAAUUUACUACAAGCUUAGAGGGUGAUCCUGAUUCGGGCGUGCAGCAGGCAAUCUUAUUUAUCCUAAUUUUAAGUUGUGUCUGCGUGCAAGAUAUGUUAAAGCAGCAAUAAGCUGCAUAGCCUAACAUUAAAUGCGCACUAUAUGUGCAGAAACUUAUAUUUUCACUUAAAGAUCACAGCGAUUAGGCUCGAGCUUGCAACUCAGAAAAUAGAGAGGCUGCAACAAGCGAUCAAAGGCCGCGUUAACACUCAGAAUAAGCUAUGCUCAGUCUAAACCCCCUCCACGCAAAAGGACGAAUGGCGGGGUGACAUUUUUCAAAUUGAAAAUUCAUCUUGUCCUUUCGCACCAAAGCUUUAGCCUCAGCCAAAACUAUCACAGCAACGCAAGAAGGUGACAUUUUUCAAAAAGGCAUCCUCACUCCCCUUUUUCCUCAGGUCCUUGCCGACGCGAGACUUUCUCACAGACUUCUUCACUUUCAAACUGGCCAACGCGCCGGCAGCCUUGAGUUCGGAUUUCAUCGCAACCGGGACAACUUUGGAGACAGGGGGCACGGAGGAUUUUGCAACCUCGCUCGAAGUGCCUUGUCCAAGCUUUUCUUUCUUCUUCUGAGCCUUGAGGCUGGAGGUCUUUAGUUUAGCUUUUUCAACCUCGAGCACGACGAUCGCUUGGUUGUCAUCCUUCUUUGAAGUCCCUGCCGCGACCUUAAGAGCGAUCCUCUUGACUUUCCUCUUUUUCCCUCUGCCACUGCCACCAGCCUGCUCCGAGCCUAUUGCGCUAGUUUCUCGCAUCCAUUUCAAAAUCUUACAAGGUUUGGGGUGAGGCGCAACCUCAACCUCUAGUUCUUCAAACACACGAUUGACCCGAAGCUCGUGUGCGACGAUCCCACGGGCCAAUGACAGCUAAAUCUUAGUGCAGGGGCCAAUAAUAUCAAUGUCAUGUUUCUGAACAUCAUCUGCAAAAAGACCGGGGUUGGCACCCUCGGGCAGCUCCACCCCGAAGCGAGGGUAAGGGAGUGGGCUAGUACUCCACGGAACCUCCUUCAGCACAAUCUCCAGCGGACACCACCCAUCAGAAAGGGGCCAAAUGUUAGUUGCCAGAAACUCUUCAAUGAAUCCCGCCCGGGGAUCAACUUCGAGGCUAGGAGGAAAGCGCCCUCGCGUUCAUUGACUACCUUGGACCUCGUAAAAGCAGAGGUAGUACUAAUGUCCAUAGGGCCUAAGGGAGCAUAGAAGGGAUAGAAAGGUCGGCUAAUACCAAACGCAUCGGCCAUAUCAAUCUUAAUAUAGAACUAGUAGCUUAGCCAGUCGUCUUCCCACCUAUUCCUCUAUGCAUAAGAAAGCACAAUCCUCUUGAUUCCUUGCUUCUCAUUGUUCUUCCUCCGAGCCGUGAAGCUACAGCACCCAAACUGUGUCUCAAAAAUACCCUCCUCGUCAUCAAACAUAACUCUCUUCCUCUGGAUAUGGAGUUCAAACAAUCUCGUGAAACCAUCGACAUCAAUGUGACCGCCAAAAGUACGCUGCACCCAAUAGAACUUGGACAGAGCAACAAAGGCAUUCGGAGUGAGAUGAUGAAGCCUUGCCUUGUAUUGGUCCAAGAUCAUAUGCAAUUCCUUGUCACACGAAAAUCUCAAUCCGACAAUGAAAAAAAUCCUUGAACACAAUAGCCUCGCCUACCCUAGGCGCUAGCACAUCUUCGUCACCAGGUGCCCUAGCGAAACCCUCGGGGAAGUAGCCCUUGUCAACAUAAUACUUUAUCAUGUUGUUGGAAACCAAAGACUUCUCGAACUGCAUGGUAGGGACGUAUACUUCCUUUGCUGCCAUUAGCUCUAACGGAUCUGCCUCGACGCCUGUAAGGUCCUCUCUACUUUCGGAGCUACUCUCAGAGUCACCGCUGCCUGCGUUACCCUCGUCACCGUAGGUUAGCUUCGCGGCGUCCUCGAUGGCCUUAUCCACAUCCAGGUCUUCCUCAGCCUUGUUGGAAAGCCUAGUCUGUUCAGCAAACUCCUCUGAUGUCAUGGGCCUUGUGGUUCGCAUACUACAAGCCAGCUGCAAAGCAUCAAAACAUCAUCUCAGAAAUAAAAGCAAAGGAAAAACUCACAGUAAAAGAGAGACACAAAUAACAUCAUUACCUUCGAGAUCCUUGAGGCCAAGGACAACAGCAUACGCCACACGAACCUCAAAGCACGGAAGCAACGAGCAAAGCAGGAGUACAAAAGGUCUGAGCCGUGAGGGUAAAAACAAAAGCGACCUGCACCCCACCCCCCACCCUUUAUAGGAGCGUUAAAGGGCGCGAAACGGCGCCUAAAACCUCGAGCCAAAUAUGAAGGGUCAUCCAAUAGGAAAGCGACACAAUACACCAAAAAGGUAACCGUUGGCUCAUUUCUAACCGACGCUCGAGGGUGACAUUUUUUAGGAUAAGAUCGUUAAGUCGCGGGUUCGGUCGUCGGUGUCGAGCCUCGCCCACGAGGGGCUACUGUUGGGGAUUGUCCAAAAAAUAUGGUCACCCUUGAGGUCGUUUUUUUUUACCAUGAUCAACUCAGCCCCGCAAAAUAAGUAGCCUCAGGUGAGGGUUCCUAACCUCGAGGAACAAAUCUGGCAUGAAAGACAGCUCUAACCUCGCGACGCUGCCGCGAGGUCAGUCUCGAAGAUGGGAAACAAUUACUGAUUGUCAAGCACUAAUCAAGCUUACCCUUGAGUGCUCAAAGAUGACUCCGAGCGCCGAGUUGUCCACUAUCUUAUGUAGUGUCGUUGAAACAAGCCGUGGUUCACGGUGCGGAGGUGGGGUCUCUUUGGCCCAAGGCUAAGGUGGUCUCGGGCCAGAGGUCAAAGUCAUGGAGGUGCUGAAAACGUGGGAGCGUGAUUCGCGGGACUUGCUGAGAGCGUGAUUCGCGGGAUUGCCUGAACGCGUGGGAAGCAUGAUUAAAGGAGGAGACCAAGUCAUACAAGUUACCUCUUAAAAAGACUUCUAUGUAAAGCAUAUUCUAGUAACGUAGUGGGUGAGUAAGGAUAAUUGCGGAAUUUAAAGUGUCCUCCGAGAUACUAUAAAAAAGGAGAGCCCUGUAACGUUACGUUCAUUUUCAUGGAAUUGAAUCGCAGCAACUGAAACUUUCAGUUGUUUCCCAACAUCAGCACUGUUUCCCUAUAUUACACUUGUAUUUUCUGCACAUCAAAUGGAUAUGCACAUCAAAUGAGCUAUUAUUUCCGUUCGAAACCAAAAAAGAUCGAUAUGUUGCAUUGAUUCAGAUUGAAUUUUACGCCAAGCUUACAUGGUGAUUCUGAUUGAAUUAUUUAUCCUAAUUUUUAUAUGGGGUUGCUGAAUCAGGCGAGCCCAUUAAUUAGUAACACAUCUUGAUGUGUCGGCGGGUCAACCGUGUUAACGUGCAUGCUACUUGCACAACUGUAUUAUACUCUCACGAUGGACAAAUUUUCUGCCUACAAAUAGCGCAUCUGCAUUGCUAUCCCAACAUGCACUUCUCCUCCUCUCCAUCUGAUCUCUUCCUAUAGCUAUAGCUGCAACAACUAGCUAGUCCUGAUCACCAUGGCUGCCGCGAUGCUCAAGAUGGCCAUUGUUGCCGCCUGCAUCGCGCUGGCCCUGCUCUCCAUGGGUCCGCCGGCGGCGAUGGCUGACAUCCAGGACGACUGCCGCGCGACUUGCCGUGGUCUCUGCGAUGGCUUCGGUACGAACACGUGCAAUAACAUCAUUGCCAUCGCCCCUGCUGUCCUGAACAAUAUCAACUUCUUCUUCACGACGUGCAAAGUGAGGGUCACUGGGCUGUGCGCGUCCUUCUGCGUCACUACCUGCAGCCUCAACACCGUGACGCCGGCCAGCCCGCCGCCACCACCAUGCAAGCCAUAAUUGGUCUAUGCGUAUUACUACAGCAUGAAUGUAAUUCAAGUCCCGGCCGUAGAUCCGGGUAUUUGCGUUUAAUUCUAAUUUCCCUUUGAUUGUUCCGGUUGUCGUGUCACACCUGCAUAUGUAAUUCAAGUCCAGUCAUGCAUUAUUGUGCACACCUGCAUAUGUAAUUUUAUUUGAAAAGGUUAUUACCUAUCUUGAGAAAUUUACGGCUAUUAUUUUUACCGCAAUAUAUUUACCUGCAUUGUACCUUCCAUCACAAUACUAUGGUUAAUUUUUCUAUUUCUCUAUCUUCUAUCUCUUCCCAAAAGUUUGAGCUGAUGUGCUCCUCCCUCCUCUCGGACACAAUUCCACUACUGGAUACUCCCUCCGUUUUUAUUUAUAAGGUGCACACACAUAUCAAGAUUCAAACUUUGCAAUCUUUGACCAAUAACGUGACCAUUAAUCUUUUAUUUGUAUAAUAUAAACUUUGUAUGGUUGGAUUCAAAAUCAAAUAUACUCUACUGUGAUUAUAAGUUUAUAAUCAUAAGUAAUAUCAUAUAAGAAAAAUGAAUGUCAUCAAAGUGUUAUUUAGAAGAUCGUGCCAAAUCAUACUAUACCUUAUAAAAAUAGAUGGAGGGAGUACUACCCUAACUGCAUUAAAUAGAUCGUUGAUGUUUUGCCACCAAAACCCCCAAUGUUGAUCUUCCACCACCAUGGCUAGAGGCACAACGCCACACAACCCCGCCACACAACCCCCACCCCACCCCCCACCCCCCCACUCCGUUGCCUCCAGCAGGCUAGCAUACGCCCAUGGUCUCCCCCUAAGCGUGCCCCUCAUCCAACCUGAACCCUAAACAUCACCAACAAAAAUUGGACAACAUAGCUACAACCCUCGACUGUAUGUGGUCGCAGAGGCUUGAUAUUUUUUUUCCACUUUCUAAAAAAACAAUAGCAAAAACAAUAGCAAACCCUGCCGAUCGUGAUAUGGACAGUCAGCAACCCUAUUUCUCCGAAUUUUCAUAUGCAGGGACUGGAUGACAGGUUCAUUAUAAACUCCCUCAGUCAAUGGUGCUCAUUAGAAAAUGUUACACAUGCUGGUACGCUGGUGUGUAUGCAUGUAAUAUCUCAUUAACUACUACAACGAAUGAAAUGCAUGCUAAUGCAUUCAAACGCUCUAAGGGCCUGUUUGUUUCCCUCCUGGAUUGUAUAAGCCGGAUUAUGGUUAAAGGGUAGGAGGAUAAAAGGUCAUCAUGGGACCACUAGGGGACCCCAAAUAAGCUAGCCUUUGGUAGCUUAUUUCAGAUUAUAUGUGGUCCCAAAAUGAUAUUUUACCAUAGUAUUCAAGACCCAUAAUCCGACUUAUAUAAUUUAGGUGGAUUAUAAUCCCAAACAAACAGGCCUAUACCUUCUAAUGCUCAUCACACUGCUUGCUGCGUCAGCCACGCUUGCAAACGUGCAUGCUACUUGCACCACGCUGCUCGUUAGUCAGCAGUUUGUAGCAGCCAUGCAUGUUAUCAUUUUCUAUCAACGAAUCUCAGGAGCAAGCAUACACGUACGUACGUGAUGGCACAAUUGUGUACAGCGGAUGCCUAUAUCUUGCUAGACUAAUAGGAGAGAGUACGUUUGGAAUGUCGAUGCUAAUCAUAGCGAUCAAAACGCGCUAGAAAAAAUUGAUAAAUCCUUCUUGUUCUUCUUUUUGUUCUCGACCAUUAUGAUUCCUUAUGGUAUUUGGAUGGAAUGAACUUGGGGAUAAGAGUGAGUGAGCGAGCAACACUUUAUCUUUGGAUAUGAUCCCAAGUUGCAUGCUUUUUUUUCCCAGGUGCAUAGUUGUAUGAUGCUUGAGCUAUAGCAUUGCCAAAUUCAUCACUGUUUCCCCUAUUACACUGGUAUUUUCUUCACAUCAAAUGGAUCCACUAGCCGAGCUAUUUUUUUUGUUGGAAAUCGAAAAGAUCUGUUGCAUUCAUUCAGAUUGAAUUUUACGACAAGCUUAGAGGUUGAUCCUGAUUCGGGCAGCAGGGCAAUCUUAUUUAUCCUAAUUUUUAUAUGGGGUUACUGAAUCAUUGCGAGCUCAUUAUGAACUGCCAGCAGUAGUCAACGGUACUCCUGCUAGCACCAAACCUUUUAAUUCUAUUAUUGGUGUGGGUGUGGGUCAACCUGUUUACGUGUUGCAUGUGCGCUACUUGCACAACUGUACAUGAACCGAGGGGGGAACGUUGUUGAAAGUCCAGUCAUUCCUCACAGACCAAAUGCUCCAGGUCAUCAGGAUAGUGAUCUCCAUGAAGAAGGGUACAUUCAGCUUGUGUUGGAUAGAGCUGAGUAUCCGGAGUGGAUGUCUGGUGGUAACCGUUGUUACUCCAAUGGAUGACCAGCAGGUUUUUGCAAAGUUGCAUCUGAAAAAGAGAUGUGCCAUUGUCUCUCUUUUUUGAAGGAUGCAAUGCUCACAGGUAUAGGAUUCAAGGCUCAUUGUUUUCCUGCCUAGGAUAUCCUUGGUACUUAGUCUGUCUUUACUUAGCAGCUAGAAAAACACCUUAUAUUUCUUUUGGCGUUUCGACUUCCACAGCCAUCGCUGGAUUGGGUGGACACUUCUCAGGCCCAUCACGGCCUUGUAAGUUUUCGCAACUGAGAAGUGGGGGCUGCCCCAGAUGUAGGUCUACUGAUCUCUAUCCUGCUGAGUGACAACAUUCCUCAUUCUAUUUUGCAGAGUAAGUAGCUGUUGAUGGGCUUCUCCGAGAGUGGCAGAUGGAAGUUGUGAGAUAGGGAAGGUCUCCUAAUGGCUUCUUUGUAUGUGAUUAGCUUGUUUUUAGCGAACGAAGAGAGCUGGGGAAAUUCCAGGGAGAGAACCUGCUCGUUCCAUGUGUCCAUCCAGAAUAAGAUAGUACAACCAUCCGAAACCCAUACUGAGGCUAUUCCUUUGUAUUUGUGUAGUAAUUUUACUACGUCUUUCCACCAAAAUGAGCCUUUUUGUUUAUGUCCAAGCAGUUUUCCAUUAUCAUAGUAGUUGUCUCAGACUAGAUGUACCUAUGCGAUGUCUGCCUUCGUGAAGAACUUAUGGAGGAACUUGAGCAGGAGAGCCUCAUCUUGGCUAUUCAGAUUAAUGACUCCAAGUCCUCCUUGCUGUUUGGGCAGGCAUACCAUAGGCCAGGCCGCUUUGGAUGGCUUUUUAGAUGAUAAGUCAGAUCCUCGCCAGAGGCAAUGCUUCCUAUAUUUGUCCAGUUGAGAGAUGAACCCCUUGUGAAGCUUCAGAGUGGCUAUAUGGAACAUUGGUGAGGACGAGAACACCGAAUUAACCGGCUCUAGUUUGCCCCCGUGGGAUAGCACGUUGGAGAUACCCCCUAUCCUUCUCUCCACUUUCUUGAUUAGGGGUAGAAAUUCCUCAAUAUUAGGCUUUGUUGUUCCUAGUAGGAGUCCCAGAUAAGUGAAAGGAAAGCUUCCAACCUGAAAGUCAACAACUGAUGAGAGUUUUUGUAGUUUUUCCUCAGGAGUGUUCAGGGGGACCAUAAAAGAUUUGUUGUAAUUGACCUUAAGUCCUGUUGAGUCUGCAAAAAGGUUUAGCAAAUGCUUUAGAUGCAGCAGCUGAACUGGGUCAGCUUCCAUGACCAGUAAGGUAUCAUGUGCGUAUUGGAUAACUAGGAAAUCUAGACCAGCUCUUUCAGGUAUUGGCAAUUGUAAGCUUCCUUCCUCUUUGGCCUCAUUCAAAAUAGAUUGAAGGAGGUUCGCUACUAGCACAAAGAGGAGUGCAGACAGUGGAUCCCCUUGCCUGACCCCUCGUCUGCAGUGGAAGACUUUCCCUGGUACUCCAUUGAGUAGAAUUGAGGAUGUUCCAGAACUGAGGAUGUCCUUAAUCCAUCCUAUCCAUCUAUCCCAAAGCCUUUGUGUUUUAGGAUGUCCAAGAUUGCUUGGUGUUCUAUUCUAUCAAAUGCCUUCUCGAAGUCAAGCUUGAGAAUGAUGAGCUCCUUCUUGGAAGUCUUACAAAUGUGUAGAUAUUCAAAUGCUGAGGCUAAACAAUCUUGAAUAGAUCUGAAUUUUAUGAAACCAUAUUGGUUCUGAUGUAGUAGCCUUAGGAUGAUCUUCUGAAGCCAUUCUGCUAGGAGCUUGGUUAUUAGCUUGAUGGUUGAGUUAAGGAGGGAGAUAGGUUUGAAAUCUCCGACUUCCAUGGGGCAGUCUUUUUUGGGGAUGAGUGUGAUGUAGGAGGCAUUGAUAUUUGGACGCAUACUCUUUUGUCAUAGAACCCCUCACAUAAUUCAUCGAAGUCUUCAGCAAUUACCUGCUAGCAUGUCUUGAGGAAUUCCCCAUCGAAGCCAUCUGGGAUAGGUGACUUGUUGCUUGGAAGAUCCUUGAUAAUUUGGUCAAUUUCUUCUUUUGAGAAGGAAGCUUCCAGCCAUUCUAAAUCCACAACUGGUGUCAAAAGAGAGGGGAGUUCAAAGUACAUGUGGGUAAUUAAGAUCUCCCCAUCCUUUCUUUGUAAGCUUCCCAAAAGAGGUGAGCUUUAGCUUCAUGAUCAGACAAAGACUACCCAUUGGCAUCUGUUAGUGAGGAGAUGUAAUUGAUCCUAUUUCUGACAGAGGCCCGAGCAUGAAAAAAUCUUGUACUUUCAUCCCCCAUUUUUUGCCCAGUUAAUAGAGCUUCUCUGCUGCCAAUAGACCUUUUGUUGAUGAAGAAGGCUAUUAAGAUGCGAUGAUAUGAUUUCCCUAAAGUUCCACUCCUGCAGGGUGAGUUCUCUGGUUUCUUCGAUGAUAUCUAAGAGCUGCAGGACAUCUUUUGUGGUCUGAAUUGUUUUGGCCAAACUGGGAAGUUGAGACUUCCAAGUCCUGAAAACCUUUCUCAUGUUUUUGAAUUUGGCUCCUAUGUUCUUUGCCUUGUCCGAGCUGGGAAAAGGUGACACCCAUCCUUGUUGGAGAAUGAAAGGGGAUUGAUCAUGCUCUAGCCAAUAGUUCUCAAAACGGAAGACCUGUGGUGUUGGUAGGCUAUUAGAGAUCGACACAAUGCAAGGGUUAUGAUCCGACGAGUCCCUGGAUAACGAGGAGGCAAAUGUGUUGGGAUAAGUUAUAAUCCAAGAGCUAGAGAUGAAAAAUCAAUCUAGUCUCUCCAGCAAGGGGAUGAUUUGUUUGUUGGACCAAGUGUACUUGCAACCUUUAAGGUGUAUCUCUGUUAACCUAAGCCUGCUAACUGCUUCCUUGAAGAGAAGCAUUUCCUUGACAUUUCCUCCCGAUUUGUUUCUGUCCUCUAGUUCCCUGAGAAGAUUGAAGUCCCCAACUAUUAGCCAUUUUUCAUCCUCAGGCAUUUCUAUCCAUUUGAACUAAUCUAUAAAAGGCAUCUUCCCCUCUGGGGUGCAGGGAGCGUAAAUAUUAGCGAGGGUCCACCUGUCUCCUGAUAGCUUGCAUUGUUGUUUCGGAAGAUAGGCUGACCCUUGAGCUUCGAGCCAUUCCAUGCUAUUAGAGUGCCCCUCGAGUUACCAGUGGAUGGGAGGAAGUCAAACAAAUCUAGUUGGGGGGUGGCAGAAAUUCCGGAUGUAUCUUGUGUCAAAAGAUUCACGUUUAGUCUCAUGUAGACAAACAAUAUCGUAGUUGGACUCAGAAAUUUUACUUUUGACUACGUUCCAUCUUGUCUGGGAGUUGAUGCCCCUAACAUUCGAGGAUAACAUGUUCCAGGAUCUUUUUUGGUUCAUUUGGAAAUGGUGUGUGCUUGGUAAUACCUCACUGCCGGCUCAACAAACAGUGGCAAAAUAAGCGUGGAAAGGAUAAACCUUGAAUCAAAAAGCCAAAAAGGAGGGGAUGAACCCCUCAAAUUCUUUGAAGCAACACAACCACAAUAAGGUAAAUCCCACAUUAACCAAACAGCAAAAUAACUAUUCCUAGGAAGUUUAAACCACCAACAUAAUGUGAUUUGCAACAUAAAGAUAAAUGAAAGAUACUUGUCUUCACUAAAACAGACCAGCUGCAAGAUCCAACCAUGUCCCAGAUCCCUAGUGCUUCUUGAUUGUAUCCCAGGCGUUGUCUGUUUUGGCCCGAUAUUUCUUCGCUUUCCCCUUACGCGGAAUAUCCACCGAGGCCUUUUCCUUUCCAUCUCCAAUGGUCUUCUGAGAGGUGGGCUUGGAGAUCAAUAGAUCAUCAGUGGUUGAGGCAGAGUCGAUGCCACACACCUGCCCACCUAGGUCUUCAAUGCUUGAAGAAGAGAGAGAUGGUGGCGCUGCGUUGCAAGCGAGGCAGUUUCUAUCCUGGCAAGUUUUCUUGCGAAAUCCUCCCCUUCUAUCUUUGAGCCUAUUGCUUCUCCCGAUGCUAGACUCAACUUCCAGCACAGCCCUUGCUCCCAAUCUAGCCCUAGCUUUCUUUGGAGCCUUUUGUUUUUCUAGCUCAGGUCCGAUUCCUUCAGAGGAGAAGAAGUACCAGUCUCCUCCUACUCAUUAAGAAAAAUAACCGGGCUGCUACUGAGGCACAAAGAACGGAUGGCGAAGGCCGUCAUGGCAGAUGAAUCAGUGCAGCUUAGCAAUGCCUCCUUGGCUCUGGAGGCUAGGAACUUCUUGGCCGAAUCGAAGUGUUGGGGGGAUAGCAACACCACUAUGAAGAAAUUGGCCCAAUGUGUUGGUAUGUGAACCACCUACUCAAGAUAUCCUACAGGAGAGAAAACCUGGGCCCAAAUCAUGUAGACAUUUGGAUUUUGACUUGGAGCUGAGGCCCUGGGGUGGUAAUGUCCUUGAUGCUAGGUCCAUCUGUCAGAGGAACUUAUUGUCUGAGUCUGCCUAAGAGAAGGUCCAGGUCAUGUGUGUUUGGCUGAACUGGGGUGAGGACCAUGUUGACAUUAAGAUUAACCUAAAAAGGGGCCUCCUAGGCUUGAUUUGGCAAAAUGCCCUGCUGUCCUGGGGGGAUGGCAGGCAACCCCAGCACCACAUCCUAAUCCAUCUCCAUAUCAUUGAGUUGAGCCCCAGCUUGUUCCGCAUGGAAGUCCAUAUUUUGGCCCAAUGGGGGCACUGCAGCCACCACAUCAUCCAAUUCCAUAAUCUGAUUGUUGAGAACCGGUGGGUCUUGCACGAUAGCUUGUGGAACCCUUGAAUUGUAGAUCACCACUGGAAGAGGAUAGUUGUCAGGAGCUGAAGAACUCGAGGAGUGGGUUGGAGGAGAUAGGUUAAGGACACUGGUGGAGGGAGAGCCCGCACUCCACUCUCAACCACAACUGUUGUAAUAUUCCAAAAAUUUGAAAUAUUAUCAUGGUUGUAAUUUUCUCAAAAAUUUGAAAACUUUAUGUAUGGAUGCGUGCGUGUUGCAAACUACUCUAUCUCUCUCUCCUAAAUUCUAAAUUUGAAUAUGUGUGGCAUGAUUUGGAGUUAUGGAUCUUAUUUGGAGUUCUUGUUUGAGUGUUGUAUAAAAGCAAACUCAAUCCCUAAAUUCAAAUUCAUAUUCCAAAUUCAAAUAUGAAAUCAGAUAAAAACAAAAGCAAAACAAACUCCCUCAGCCAGGGCAGCCUACCGUCCCAAAACUGCUUUAAGCUCAGCUUCCCACGCUAACUAACCAGGCCGCCUUUGGCCCAACUUCAACCACUGGCCCGCCUACCCUCUUUCCUCUUUUCCAGCUGCAGCGGGCCACCCACCUUUCUUUCUCUUUUGGCCCAGCCCAAAGCAACCAGCCCUCUUAACCCUUUCCCCUUAGCUUCGUGGGCCGCUCUUCCUUUCCUUCAGGCCGGCUCGCAGGCCACUUUCUUCUUCCACAAACCGUCAGCCCAGCCCGUCUCGACCUCCCCUCUUCUGUUCUUCUUCAACCUCGCACGGACGCAAAAGCUUCACGCACAGGUGCACUACCUCGCAGCUGGGGGUGGCGUGUCCCGCUUCUGGAGGCUUCCACCAGGCGCUUCUGCUACCCCUACUCCACCACCUAACCCCGCUCCCAGGGCCGUCAGAUGCGCCGCAACGGGCUCCAGGUGCGCAACCCUAGGAUCAACGUCCGGGCUACUCUAAGCCCCUCCACUGCCUUGGCCAGGCUAUAAAAUGGGGCUUUGGGCAUGCCCUAAGGCCAUCCCAUCCGCUCCCGGGGCUGCCUGUCCACCACCGCCACCCAGUUGAGAGGAGGGCCGAGUUGAGAAGAAGGGUUGGGAGGAGAAGGAGGAGGCCCUGUCGGAGGAGUCGCUGCCGUCCGCGGGAGAAAUAAGGCGCCGUCCGAGGGAGUACCUGUGCAAGAAGGCACCGUCCGAGGGAGCUCCAGCGAAGAAGGAGGCUCUGUCCAUGUGAAGCGCCGUCGCCAACUUCUUCCUCCUCGCCGCCGUCUACCUCGUCUACUCUGCCGCCACCUCUUCUUCCCCUUCACCGAGACAGCCUCGUAAGCCUCCAAGAUCUCACCUUUCCCCUCUCUCCUGACUACCUGAAACCCUAAAGCCAUGGCCUUUGUGCUACCCUUUGCCUGCUCCGCCUGUGGAAGCGCUUUGUCGCCACUAUCCUUGCACUUGAGCUCGCGUGCACCUCCUUGCUUGCUCUGGCCUCGCUACUUGCGCUGCUCGCCUGGCUUGCCUUUGCCGUUUUCGCGUGCGCCAACUCUGCUGCUUGCCUUUGCAUGCACCGCGCCCGCACACCGCUCGAUCGUGUGCCCACAUCCAGCCAACGCGACGUCGCGCGAGGUUCGCGGUCACCGCGGCCGCAGACUGCGGCAUCGCGACACUGGUUUGCGGUCACCGCCUGCGCGUCGCGCCGCACAGCGUGUCGUUCGCGCACCAUAGCUCGCCGCCUGCCCGCCGUGCGCGCUCCGCACCUCGCCGUGACGCGCCACGGCGCGCCAACACUCGCCGCCGUCGUCGCAAGCCACGUGGCCACCCCGUCACCGCCAUGUGAUAGGUGGGGGCCCACCUGUGGGUCCGCUCGUGGGGCGUACCUUGUGGGGCCCACUGUUGACCUGUGGGGCCCAUGCGUUGACCGUUGACCAUUGACCCAGUAAUGCUUCUUUCUCCUCUUUGCAGGGUCCUCCUCGUAUGCAAUCCCUAUAAUGAAUUUGCAACAUGAGCAGUUGUACAUGAAUCAAUCCACCAAGUAUAUUUUGCAUAACUUAAAUACAAGGACUCAUCUACAAAUGUAAUAAGAUCCUCACCUCUAUAACACACAUGCUUCAGGAAAUCCACACAGCCUUUCUGGUAGUAUUCUUUCUUCUUGCACCACUUGCAAGUGUCCUUGUCCACCACCUCUUCAUGGUUUGAUCUUUGAUGGUGAUCAUACAUUGGAGCCUUUCCAUGUGCCUUAGAAAAAGAGGCGUUCCACUGAGGUUUCCCUUGUGGCUUAGAAUUCUAAAGAUUCCGCUUCUUGUUUUGCCUCAGGUAAUUGAUAGUAUCACUGGACGAGCCCUUAAGCCUCUCUUCUUCUUGCACACACAUGGCAAUCAUCUUCUUAAUACCCCACUUUUCUGGCUAUGAGUUGUAAUUCACAGCAAAGGUCUCAAACUCUUUGGGCAGUGAGGUAAAGAUUAGAAUGGACAAUAAACUCUUUUGGAAGCUCCAUUUCCAUAGACUUAAGCUUGGAAGAUAUAUUGUUCAUUCUCAAUAUGUGAUCCCUUAUUCCACUGCCAAUAUACUUCAUAGUAACAAGCUUUCUUAUGAGAGUGCUUGCAUAUGCCUUUGAUGAUCCAGUAAACUGACUCUCCACAUUUGUCAAGUACUCCUUAGAUCUACAACAGGGACUUCCUAGAGGGGAGAGUGAGAGGAUGACCGACCGUCGGGCUUCAUCAGAGGACGCCAUGGCGGUGCUGGUGACGGUGACGUUGACGCAGAGGUUAGGUGUUGGCGGUGCUUCCCGCCAUUGACAGCAUCUCCAGUAGAUCGGCUAGAGUUUGUUGGUGGGUUUGGUGGGCACAGUGAAUCUUGGUUUGCGUGCCCUCGGCCUCCACCUUUCCUUUUAUUUGGAAAUGUGCGACGGGGCCCCACCAACCAUGACUGGUUGUGCGCCCCCGAUCAGGGUGCGAGAUAAGGCUCGGACUCGUCCGUUGGGGCGAGUCUGUUGGGAGAUCAAACUAACAAAUACAAGUGAGCGAGUGAGGGAGCAACACUUUAUCUUUGGAUAUGAUCCCAAAUUGCAUGCUUUUUUUUUCCUAGGUGCAUAGUUGUAUGAUGCUUGAGCUAUAGCAUUGCCAAGUUCAUCACUGUUUCCCCUAUUACACAGGUAUUUUCUUCACAUCAAAUGGAUCCACUAGCCAUGCUAUUAUAUUUUUGUUGGAGAUCGAAAAGAUCUGUUGCAUUGAUUCAUAUUGAAUUUACUACAAGCUUAGAGGGUGAUCCUGAUUCGGGCGUGCAGCAGGCAAUCUUAUUUAUCCUAAUUUUAACUUGUGUCUGCGUGCAAGAUAUGUUAAAGCAGCAAUAAGCUGCAUAGCCUAACAUUAAAUGCGCACUAUAUGUGCAGAAACUUAUAUUUUCACUCAAAGAUCACAGCGAUUAGGCUCGAGCUUGCAACUCAGAAAAAAGAGAGGCUGCAACAAGCGAUCAAAGGCCGCGUUAACACUCAGAAUAAGCUAUGCUCAGUCUAAACCCCCUCCACGCAAAAGGACGAAUGGCGGGGUGAUAUUUUUCAAAUUGAAAAUUCAUCUUGUCCUUUCGCACCAAAGCUUUAGCCUCAGCCAAAACUAUCACAGCAACGCAAGAAGGUGACAUUUUUCAAAAAGGCAUCCUCACUCCCCUUUUUCCUCAGGUCCUUGCCGACGCGAGACUUUCUCACAGACUUCUUCACUUUCAAACUGGCCAACGCGCCGGCAGCCUUGAGUUCGGAUUUCAUCGCAACCGGCACAACUUUGGAGACAGGGGGCACGGAGGAUUUUGCAACCUCGCUCGAAGUGCCUUGUCCAAGCUUUUCUUUCUUCUUCUGAGCCUUGAGGCUGGAGGUCUUUAGUUUCACUUUUUCAACCUCGAGCACGACGAUCGCUUGGUUGUCAUCCUUCUUUGAAGUCCCUGCCGCAACCUUAGGAGCGAUCCUCUCGACUUUCCUCUUUUUCCCUCUGCCACUGCCACCAGCCUGCUCCGAGCCUAUUGCGCUAGUUUCUCGCUUCCAUUUCAAAAUCUUACAAGGUUUGGGGUGAGGCGCAACCUCAACCUCUAGUUCUUCAAACACACGAUUGAACCGAAGCUCGUGUGCGACGAUCCCACGGGCCGAUGACAGCUCAAUCUUAGUGCAGGGGCCAAUAAUAUCAAUGUCAUGUUUCUGAACAUCAUCUGCAAAAAACCGGGGUUGGCACCCUGGGGCAGCUCCACCCCGAAGCGAGGGUAAGGGAGUGGGCUAGUACUCCACGGAACCUCCUUCAGCACAAUCUCCAGCGGACACCACCCAUCGGAAAGGGGCCAAAUGUUAGCUCCCAGAAACUCUUCAAUGAGAUCCCGCCCGGGGAUCAACUUCGAGGCUAGGAGGAAAGCACCCUCGCGUUCCUUGACUACCUUGGACCUCGUAAAAGCAGAGGUAGUACUAAUGUCCAUAGGGCCUAAGGGAGCAUAGAAGGGAUAGAAAGGUCGGCUAGUACCAAACGCAUCGGCCAUAUCAAUCUUAAUAUAGAACCAGUAGCUUAGCCAGUCGUCUUCCCACCUAUUCCUCUAUGCAUAAGAAAGCUCAAUCCUCUUGAUUCCCUGCUUCUCAUUGUUCUUCCUCCGAGCCGCGAAGCUACAGCACCCAAACUGUGUCUCAAAAAUACCUUCCUCGUCAUCAAACAUAACUCUCUUCCUCUGGAUAUGGAGUUCAAACAACCUCGUGAAACCAUCGACAUCAAUGUGACCACCAAAUGUACGCUGCACCCAAUAGAACUUGGACAGAGCAACAAAGGCAUUCGGAGUGAGAUGAUGAAGCCUUGCCUUGUAUUGGUCCAAGAUCAUAUGCAAUUCCUUGUCACACGAAAAUCUCAAUCCGCCAAUGAAAAAAAUCCUUGAACACAAUAGCCUCGCCUACCCUAGACGCCAGCACAUAUUCGUCACCAGGUGCCCUAGCGAAACCCUCGGGGAAGUAGCCCUUGUCAACAUAAUACUUUAUCAUGUUGUUGGAAACCAAAGACUUCUCGAACUGCAUGGUAGGGACGUAUACUUCCUUUGCUGCUAUUAGCUCUAACGGAUCUGCCUCGAUGCCUGUAAGGUCCUCUCUACUUUCGGAGCUACUCUCAGAGUCACCGCUGCCUGCGUUACCCUCGUCACCGUAGGUUAGCUUCGCGGCGUCCUCGAUGGCCUUAUCCACAUCCAGGUCUUCCUCAGCCUUGUUGGAAAGCCUAGUCUGUUCAGCAAACUCCUCUGAUGUCAUGGGCCUUGUGGUUUGCAUACUACAAGCCAGCUGCAAAGCAUCAAAACAUCAUCUCAGAAAUAAAAGCAAAGGAAAAACUCACAGUAAAAGAGAGACACAAAUAACAUCAUUACCUUCCAGAUCCUUGAGGCCAAGGACAACAGCAUACGCCACACGAACCUCAAAGCACGGAAGCAACGAGCAAAGCAGGAGUACAAAAGGUCUCAGCCGUGAGGGUAAAAACAAAAGCGACCUGCACCCCACCCCCCACCCUUUAUAGGAGCGGUAAAGGGCGCGAAACGGCGCCUAAAACCUCGAGCCAAAUACGAAGGGUCAUCCAAUAGGAAAGCGACACAAUACACCAAAAAGGUAACCGUUGGCUCAUUUCUAACCGACGCUCGAGGGUGACAUUUUUUAGGAUAAGAUCGUUAAGUCGCGGGUUCGGUCGUCGGUGUCGAGCCUCGCCCACGAGGGGCUACUGUUGGGGAUUGUCCAAAAAAUAUGGUCACCCUUGAGGUCGUUUUGUUUACCAUGAUCAACUCAGCCCCGCAAAAUAAGUAGCCUCAGGUGAGGGUUCCUAACCUCGAGGAACAAAUCUGGCAUGAAAGACAGCUCUAACCUCGCGACGCUGCCGCGAGGUCAGUCUCAAAGCCGGGAAACAAUUACUGAUUGUCAAGCACUGAUGAAGCUUACCCUUGAGCGCUCAAAGCUGACUCCGAGCGCCGAGUUGUCCACUAUCUUAUGCAGGGUCGUUGAAACAAGCCGAGGUUCACGGCGCGGAGGUGGGGUCUCUUUGGCCCGAGGCUAAGGUGGUCUUGGGCCAGAGGUCAAAGUCAUGGAGGUGCUAAAAACGUGGGAGCGUGAUUCGCGGGACUUGCUGAGAGCGUGAUUCGCGGGAUUGCCUGAACGCGUGGGAAGCAUGAUUAAAGGAGGAGACCAAGUCAUACAAGUUACCUCUUAAAAAGACUUCUAUGUAAAGCAUAUUCUAGUAACGUAGUGGGUGAGUAAGGAUAAUUGCGGAAUUUAAAGUGUCCUCCGAGAUACUAUAAGAAAGGAGAGCCCUACCCAAUGUAACGUUACGUUCAUUUUCAUGGAAUUGAAUCGCAGCAACUGAAACUUGUUUCCCAACAUCAGCACUGUUUCCCUAUAUUACACUUGUAUUUUCUGCACAUCAAAUGGAUAUGCACAUCAAAUGAGCUAUUAUUUCCGUUCGAAACCAAAAAGAUCGAUAUGUUGCAUUGAUUCAGAUUGAAUUUUACGCCAAGCUUACAUGGUGAUUCUGAUUGAAUUAUUUAUCCUAAUUUUUAUAUGGGGUUGCUGAAUCAGGCGAGCCCAUUAAUUAGUAACACAUCUUGAUGUGUCGGCGGGUCAACCGUGUUAACGUGCAUGCUACUUGCACAACUGUAUUAUACUCUCACGAUGGACAAAUUUUCUGCCUACAAAUAGCGCAUCUGCAUUGCUAUCCCAACAUGCACUUCUCCUCCUCUCCAUCUGAUCUCUUCCUAUAGCUAUAGCUGCAACAACUAGCUAGUCCUGAUCACCAUGGCUGCCGCGAUGCUCAAGAUGGCCAUUGUUGCCGCCUGCAUCGCGCUGGCCCUGCUCUCCAUGGGUCCGCCGGCGGCGAUGGCUGACAUCCAGGACGACUGCCGCGCGACUUGCCGUGGUCUCUGCGAUGGCUUCGGUACGAACACGUGCAAUAACAUCAUUGCCAUCGCCCCUGCUGUCCUGAACAAUAUCAACUUCUUCUUCACGACGUGCAAAGUGAGGGUCACUGGGCUGUGCGCGUCCUUCUGCGUCACUACCUGCAGCCUCAACACCGUGACGCCGGCCAGCCCGCCGCCACCACCAUGCAAGCCAUAAUUGGUCUAUGCGUAUUACUACAGCAUGAAUGUAAUUCAAGUCCCGGCCGUAGAUCCGGGUAUUUGCGUUUAAUUCUAAUUUCCCUUUGAUUGUUCCGGUUGUCGUGUCACACCUGCAUAUGUAAUUCAAGUCCAGUCAUGCAUUAUUGUGCACACCUGCAUAUGUAAUUUUAUUUGAAAAGGUUAUUACCUAUCUUGAGAAAUUUACGGCUAUUAUUUUUACCGCAAUAUAUUUACCUGCAUUGUACCUUCCAUCACAAUACUAUGGUUAAUUUUUCUAUUUCUCUAUCUUCUAUCUCUUCCCAAAAGUUUGAGCUGAUGUGCUCCUCCCUCCUCUCGGACACAAUUCCACUACUGGAUACUCCCUCCGUUUUUAUUUAUAAGGUGCACACACAUAGCAAGAUUCAAACUUUGCAAUCUUUGACCAAUAACGUGACCAUUAAUCUUUUAUUUGUAUAAUAUAAACUUUGUAUGGUUGGAUUCAAAAUCAAAUAUACUCUACUGUGAUUAUAAGUUUAUAAUCAUAAGUAAUAUCAUAUAAGAAAAAUGAAUGUCAUCAAAGUGUUAUUUAGAAGAUCGUGCCAAAUCAUACUAUACCUUAUAAAAAUAGAUGGAGGGAGUACUACCCUAACUGUAUAUUAAAUAGAUCGUUGAUGUUUCGCCACCAAAACCCCCAAUGUUGAUCUUCCACCACCAUGGCUAGAGGCACAACGCCACACAACCCCGCCACACAACCCCCACCCCACCCCCCACCCCCCCACUCCGUUGCCUCCAGCAGGCUAGCAUACGCCCAUGGUCUCCCCCUAAGCGUGCCCCUCAUCCAACCUGAACCCUAAACAUCACCAACAAAAAUUGGACAACAUAGCUACAACCCUCGACUGUAUGUGGUCGCAGAGGCUUGAUAUUUUUUUUCCACUUUCUAAAAAAACAAUAGCAAAAACAAUAGCAAACCCUGCCGAUCGUGAUAUGGACAGUCAGCAACCCUAUUUCUCCGAAUUUUCAUAUGCAGGGACUGGAUGACAGGUUCAUUAUAAACUCCCUCAGUCAAUGGUGCUCAUUAGAAAAUGUUACACAUGCUGGUACGCUGGUGUGUAUGCAUGUAAUAUCUCAUUAACUACUACAACGAAUGAAAUGCAUGCUAAUGCAUUCAAAUGCUCUAAGGGCCUGUUUGUUUCCCUCCUGGAUUGUAUAAGCCGGAUUAUGGUUAAAGGGUAGGAGGAUAAAAGGUCAUCAUGGGACCACUAGGGGACCCCAAAUAAGCUAGCCUUUGGUAGCUUAUUUCAGAUUAUAUGUGGUCCCAAAAUGAUAUUUUACCAUAGUAUUCAAGACCCAUAAUCCGACUUAUAUAAUUUAGGUGGAUUAUAAUCCCAAACAAACAGGCCUAUACCUUCUAAUGCUCAUCACACUGCUUGCUGCGUCAGCCACGCUUGCAAACGUGCAUGCUACUUGCACCACGCUGCUCGUUAGUCAGCAGUUUGUAGCAGCCAUGCAUGUUAUCAUUUUCUAUCAACGAAUCUCAGGAGCAAGCAUACACGUACGUACGUGAUGGCACAAUUGUGUACAGCGGAUGCCUAUAUCUUGCUAGACUAAUAGGAGAGAGUACGUUUGGAAUGUCGAUGCUAAUCAUAGCGAUCAAAACGCGCUAGAAAAAAUUGAUAAAUCCUUCUUGUUCUUCUUUUUGUUCUCGACCAUUAUGAUUCCUUAUGGUAUUUGGAUGGAAUGAACUUGGGGAUAAGAGUGAGUGAGCGAGCAACACUUUAUCUUUGGAUAUGAUCCCAAGUUGCAUGCUUUUUUUUCCCAGGUGCAUAGUUGUAUGAUGCUUGAGCUAUAGCAUUGCCAAAUUCAUCACUGUUUCCCCUAUUACACUGGUAUUUUCUUCACAUCAAAUGGAUCCACUAGCCGAGCUAUUUUUUUUGUUGGAAAUCGAAAAGAUCUGUUGCAUUCAUUCAGAUUGAAUUUUACGACAAGCUUAGAGGUUGAUCCUGAUUCGGGCAGCAGGGCAAUCUUAUUUAUCCUAAUUUUUAUAUGGGGUUACUGAAUCAUUGCGAGCUCAUUAUGAACUGCCAGCAGUAGUCAACGGUACUCCUGCUAGCACCAAACCUUUUAAUUCUAUUAUUGGUGUGGGUGUGGGUCAACCUGUUUACGUGUUGCAUGUGCGCUACUUGCACAACUGUACAUGAACCGAGGGGGGAACGUUGUUGAAAGUCCAGUCAUUCCUCACAGACCAAAUGCUCCAGGUCAUCAGGAUAGUGAUCUCCAUGAAGAAGGGUACAUUCAGCUUGUGUUGGAUAGAGCUGAGUAUCCGGAGUGGAUGUCUGGUGGUAACCGUUGUUACUCCAAUGGAUGACCAGCAGGUUUUUGCAAAGUUGCAUCUGAAAAAGAGAUGUGCCAUUGUCUCUCUUUUUUGAAGGAUGCAAUGCUCACAGGUAUAGGAUUCAAGGCUCAUUGUUUUCCUGCCUAGGAUAUCCUUGGUACUUAGUCUGUCUUUACUUAGCAGCUAGAAAAACACCUUAUAUUUCUUUUGGCGUUUCGACUUCCACAGCCAUCGCUGGAUUGGGUGGACACUUCUCAGGCCCAUCACGGCCUUGUAAGUUUUCGCAACUGAGAAGUGGGGGCUGCCCCAGAUGUAGGUCUACUGAUCUCUAUCCUGCUGAGUGACAACAUUCCUCAUUCUAUUUUGCAGAGUAAGUAGCUGUUGAUGGGCUUCUCCGAGAGUGGCAGAUGGAAGUUGUGAGAUAGGGAAGGUCUCCUAAUGGCUUCUUUGUAUGUGAUUAGCUUGUUUUUAGCGAACGAAGAGAGCUGGGGAAAUUCCAGGGAGAGAACCUGCUCGUUCCAUGUGUCCAUCCAGAAUAAGAUAGUACAACCAUCCGAAACCCAUACUAAGGCUGUCUAGUAAUUUAACUACGUCUUUCCACCAAAAUGAGCCUUUUUGUUUAUGUCCAAGCAGUUUUCCAUUAUGAUAGUAGUUGUCUCAGACUAGAUGUACCUAUGGGAUGUCUGCCUUCGUGAAGAACUUAUGGAGGAACUUGAGCAGGAGAUCCUCAUUUUGGCUAUUCAGACUAAUGACUCCAAGUCCUCCUUGCUGUUUGGGCAGGCAUACCAUAGGCCAGGCCACUUUGGAUGGCUUUUUAGAUGAUAAGUCAGAUCCUCGCCAGAGGCAAUGCUUCCUGUAUUUCAGUUGAGAGAUGAACCCCUUGUGAAGCUUCAGAGUGGCCAUAUGGAACAUUGGUGAGGGCGAGAACACCGAAUUAACCAGCUCUAGUUUGCCCCCGUGGGAUAUCAUGUUGGAGAUACCACCUAUCCUUCUCUCCACUUUCCUGAUUAGGGGUAGAAAUUCCUCAAUAUUAGGCUUUGUUGUUCCUAGUGGGAGUCCUAGGUAAGUGAAAGGAAAACUUCCAACAUGACAGUCAAAAACUGAUGAGAGUUGUUGUAGUUUUUCCUCAGGAGUGUUCAGGGGGACCAUAACAGAUUUGUUGUAAUUGACCUUAAGUCCUGUUGAGUCUGCAAAAAGGUUUAGCAAAUGCUUUAGAUGCAGCAGCUGAACUGGGUCGGCUUCCAUGACCAGUAAGGUAUCAUGUGCGUAUUGGAUAACUAGGAAAUCUAGACCAGCUCUUUCAGGUAUUGGCAAUUGUAAGCUUCCUUCCUCUUUGGCCUUAUUCAAAAUAGAUUGAAGGAGGUCCACUACUAGCACAAAGAGGAGUGGAGACAGUGGAUCCCCUUGCCUGACCCCUCGUCUGCAGUGGAAGACUUUCCCUGAUACUUCAUUGAGUAGAAAUAAGGAUGUUCCAGAACCGAGGAUGUCCUUAAUCCAUCCUAUCCAUCUAUACCCAAAGCCCUUGUGUUUUAGGAUGUCCAAUAUGGCUUGGUGUUCUAUUCUAUCAAAUGCCUUCUCAAAGUCAAGCUUGAGAAUGAUGAGCUCCUUCUUGGAAGUCUUACAAAUGUGUAGGUAUUUAAAUGCUUAGGCUAAACAAUCUUGAAUAGAUCUGGAUUUUAUGAAACCAUAUUGGUUCUGAUGCAGUAGUCUUAGGAUGAUCUUCUGAAGCCAUUCUAUUAGGAGCUUGGUUAUUAUCUUGAUGGUUAAGCUAAGGAGGGAGAUAGGUUUGAAAUCUCCGACUUCCAUGGGGCAGUCUUUUUUGGGGAUGAGUGUGAUGUAGGAGGCAUUGAUAUUUGCACGCAUACUCUUUUGUCAUAGAACCCCUCACAUAAUUCAUAGAAGUCUUCAGCAAUUACCUGCUAGCAUGUCUUGAGGAAUUCCCCAUGGAAGCCAUCUGGGCCAGGUGACUUGUUGCUUGGAAGAUCCUUGAUAAUUUGGUCAAUUUCUUCUUUUGAGAAGGGAGCUUCCAGCAAUUCUAAAUCCAGAACUGGUGUCAAAAGAGAGGGGAGUUCAAAGUACAUGUGGGUAAAUAAGAUCUCCCCAUCCUUUCUUUGUAAGCUUCCCAAAAGAGGCGAGCUUUAGCUUCAUGAUCGGAGAAAGACUACCCAUUGGCAUUUGUUAGUGAGGAGAUGUAAUUGAUCCUAUUUCUGACAGAGGCCCAAGCAUGAAAAAAUCUUGUACUUUCAUCCCCCAUUUUUUGCCCAGUUAAUAGAGCUUCUCUGCUACCAAUAGACCUUCUGUUGAUGAAGAAGGCUAUUAAGAUCUGAUGAUAUGAUUUCCCUAAAGUUCCACUCCUGCAGGGUGAGGUCUCUGGUUUCUUCGAUGAUAUCUAAGAGCUGCAGGACAUCUUUUGUGGUCUGAAUUGUUUUGGCCAAACUGGGAAGUUGAGACUUCCAAGUCCUGAAAACCUUUCUCAUGUUUUUGAAUUUGGCUCCUAUGUUCUUUGCCUUGUCUGAGCUGGGAAAAGGUGACACCCAUCCUUGUUGGAGAAUGAAAGGGGAUUGAUCAUGCUCUAGCCAGUAGUUCUCAAAACGGAAGACCUGUGGUGUUGGUAGGCUAUUAGAGAUCGACACAAUGCAAGGGAUAUGAUCCGACGAGUCCCUAGUCUUUAAGCCUAUUGCUUCUCCCGACGCUAGACUCAACUUCCAGCACAACCCUUGCUCCCAAUCUGGCAUUGGCUUUCUUUGGAGCCUUUUGUUCUUCUAGCUCAGGGUCUGAUUCCUUCAGAGGAGAAGAAGUACCAGUCUCCUCCUACUCAUUAAGACAAAUAACCGGGCUGCUACUAGGGCACAAAGAGUGGAUGGCGAAGGCCAUCAUGGCAGAUAAAUCAAUGCAACUUAGCAGUGCCUCCUUGGCUCUGGAGGCUAGGAACUUCUUGGCCCAAUCGAAUUGUUGGGGGGAUAGCAACACCACUAUGAAGAAAUCGGCCCAAUGUGUUGGUAUGUGAACCACCUGCUCAGGAUAUCCUAUAGGAGAGAAAAACUGGGCCCAAAUCCUGUAGACAUUUGGAUUUUGACAUGGAGCUGAGGCCCUGGGAGUGGUAAUGUCCUUGAUGCUAGGUCCAUCUAUCACAGGAAUUGAUUGUCUGAGUCUGCCUAAGAGAAGGUCCAGGUCAUGUGUGUUUGGUUGAACUUGGGUGACUACCAUGUUGACAUUAAGAUUAACCUGAAAAGGGGCCUCCUGGGCUUGAUUUGGCAAAAUACCCUGCUGUCCUAGGGGGAUGGCAGGCAACCCCAGCACCACAUCCUGAUCCAUCUCCAUAUCAUUGAGUUGAGCCCCAGCUUGUUCUGCAUGGAAGUCCAUAUUUUGGCCCAAUGGGGGCACUGCAGCCACCACAUCAUCCAAUUCCAUAAUCUGAUUGUUGAGAACCGGUGGGUCUUGCACGAUCACCACUGGAAGAGGAGCUGAAGAGCUCGAGGAGUUGGUUGGAGGAGACAGGUUAAGGUCACCGGCGGAGGGAGAGCCCGCACUCCGCUCUCAACCACAACUGUUGUAAUAUUCCAAAAAUUUGAAAUAUUAUCAUGGUUGUAAUUUUCUCAAAAAUUUGAAAACAGUAUGUAUGGACGUGUGCGAGUUGCAAACUACUCUAUCUCUCUCUCUCCUAAAUUCUAAAUUUCAAUAUGUGUGGCAUGAUUUGGAGUUAUGGAUCUUAUUUGGAGUUCUUGUUCGAGUGUUGUAUAAACGCAAACUCAAUCCCUAAAUUCAAUUUCAUAUUCCAAAUUCAAAUAUGAAAUCAGAUAAAAACAAAAGCAAAACAAACUCCCUCAGCCAGGCCAGCCUACCAGCCCAAAACUGCUUUCAGCUCAACUUGCCACGCUAAGUAACCAGGCCACCUUCGGCCCAACUUCAACCGCUGGCCCGCCUACCCCCUUUCCUCUUUUCCAGCAACAGCGGGCCACCCACCUUUCUUUCUCUUUUCGCCCAGCCCAAAGCAACCAGCCCGCUUAACCCUUUCCCCUUAGCUUCGUGGGCCGCUCUUCCUUUCCUUCAGGCCGGCCCGCAGGCUACUUUCUCCUUCCACAAACCGCCAACCCAGCCCGUCUCGACCUCCCCUCUCCUAUUCUUCUUCAACCUCGCACGGACGCAAAAGCGUCGCGCGCAGGUGCACUACCUCGCGGCUGGGGGUGGCGUGUCCCGCUUCUGGAGGCUUCCACCAGGCGCUUCUGCUACCCCUACUCCGCCACCUACCCCCGCUCCCAGGGCCGUCGGAUGCACCGCAACAGGCUCCAGGUGCGUAACCCUAGGAUCAACGGCCAGGAAACUCUAUGACCCUCCACUGCCUUGGCCAAGCUAUAAAAUGGGGCUUUGGGCGUGCCCUAAGGCCAUCCCAUCCGCUCCGAGGGCUGCCUGUCCACCACCGCCACCCAGUUGAGAGGAGGGCCGAGUUGAGAAGAAGGGUUGGGAGGAGAAGGAGGAGGCCCUGUCGGAGGAGUCGCUGCCAUCCGCGGGAGGAAUAAGGCGCCGUCCGAGGGAGUACCUGCGCGAGAAGAAGGCACCGUCCGAGGGAGCUCCAGCGAAGAAGGAGGCGCCGUCCAUGUGAAGCGUCGUCGCCAAUUUCUUCCUCCUCACCACCGUCUACCUCAUCUACUCCACCACCACCUCUUCUUCCCCUUCACCGAGACAGCCUCGUAAGCCUCCAAUAUCUCACCUUUCCCCUCUCCUAACUACCUGAAACCCUAAAGCCAUGGCCUUUGUGCUACCCUUUGCCUGCUCCGCCCGUGGAAGCGCUUGUCGCCACUGUCCUUGCAUUUGAGCUCGCGUGCACCUCCUUGCUUGCUCGCGCCUCACUACUUGCGCUGCUCGCCCGGCUUGCCUUGGCUGUUUUCGCGUGCGCCAACUCUGCUGCUUGCCUUUGCAUGCACCCGCCCGCGCACCGCUGGGUCGUGUGCCCGCGUCUAACCGACGCAACGUCGCGCGAGGUUCGCGGUCACCACGGCCGCUGGCUGCGACAUCGUGAUGCCGUUCGCGGUCACCGCCUGCGCGUCACGUGGCACAGCGCAUCGUUCGUGCACCGCACUCACCGCCUGCCCGCUGUGCGGGCUUCGCAGCUCGCCGUGACACGCCACGGCGCACCAGCACUCGCCGUCGCCAUCACAAGCCACGUGGCCGCCCCGUCAGCGCCAUGUGGCAGGUGGGGGCCCACUUGUGGGUCCGCCCAUGGGGCAUACCUAUGGGGCCCACCGUUGACCAGUGGGGUCAAUGCGUUGACCGUUGACCAUUGACCCAGUAAUGCUUCUUUCUCCUCUUUGCAGGGUCCUCGUCGUAUGCAAUCCCUAUAAUGAAUUUGCAACAUGAGCAGUUGUACCUGAAUCAAUCCACCAAGUAUAUUUUGCAUAACUUAAAUACAAGGACUCAUCUACAAAUGUAAUAAGAUCCUCACCUCUAUAACACACAUGCUUCAGGAAAUCCACACAGCCUUUCUGGUAGUAUUCUUUCUUCUUGCACUACUUGCAAGUGUCCUUGUCCACCACCUCUUCAUGGUUUGAUCUUUGAUGGUGAUCAUACAUUGGAGCCUUUCCAUGUGCCUUAGAAAAAGAGGUGUUCCACUGAGGUUUCCCUUGUGGCUUAGAAUUCUAAAGAUUCCGCUUCUUGUUUUGCCUCAGGUAAUUGAUAGUAUCACCGGACGAACCCUUAAGCCUCUCUUCUUCUUGCACACACAUGGCAAUCAUCUUCUUAAUACCCCACUUUUCUGGCUAUGAGUUGUAAUUCACAGCAAAGGUCUCAAACUCUUUGGGCAGUGAGGUAAAGAUUAGAAUGGACUAAAAACUCUUCUAGAAGCUCCAUUUCCAUAUACUUAAGCUUGGAAGACAUAUUGUUCAUUCUCAAUAUGUGAUCCCUUAUUCCACUACCAAUAUACUUCAUAGUAACAAGCUUUCUUAUGAGAGUGCUUGCAUAUGCCUAUGAAGAUCCAGUAAAUUGACUCUCCACAUUUGUCAAUUACUCCUUAGAUCUACAACAGGGACUUCCUAGAGGGGAGAGUGAGAGGAUGACCGACCGUCGGGCUUCAUCAGAGAACGCCAUGGCGGUGUUGGUGACGGCGACGUUGACACAGAGGUUAGGUGUUGGCGGUGCUUCCCGCCGCUGACAGCGUCUCCAGUAGAUCAGCUAGGGUUUGUUGGUGGGUUUGGUGGGCACAGUGAACCUUGGUUUGCGUGCCCUCAGCUCCCACCUUUCCUUUUAUUUGGCGCUGUGUGACGGGGCCCCACCAACCAUGACUGGUUGUGCGCCCCCGAUCAGGGCACGAGAUAAGGCUCGGACUCGUCCGUUGGGGCAAGUCCGUUGGUAGAUCAAACUAACAAAUACAAGUGAGCGAGUGAGCGAGCAACACUUUAUCUUUGGAUAUGAUCCCAAAUUGCAUGCUUUUUUUUCCCAGGUGCAUAGUUGUAUGAUGCUUGAGCUAUAGCAUUGCCAAAUUCAUCACUGUUUCCCCUAUUACACAGGUAUUUUCUUCACAUCAAAUGGAUCCACUAGCCAAGUUAUUAUUUUUUUGUUGGAGAUCGAAAAGAUCUGUUGCAUUGAUUCAGAUUGAAUUUACUACAAGCUUAGAGGGUGAUCCUGAUUCGGGCGUGCAGCAGGCAAUCUUAUUUAUCCUAAUUUUAACUUGUGUCUCCGUGCAAGAUAUGUUAAAGCAGCAAUAAGCUGCUUAGCCUGGCAUUAAAUAUGCACUAUAUGUGCAGAAACUUAUAUUUUCACUCAAAGAUCACAGCGAUUAGGCUCGAGCUUGCAACUCAGAAAAUAGAGAGGCUGCAACAAGCGAUCAAAGGCUGCGAUAACACUCAGAAUAAGCUAUGCUCAGUCUAAACCCCCUCCGUGCAAAAGGACGAAUGACAGGGUGACAUUUUACAAAUUGAAAAUUCAUCUUGUCCUUUCGCACGAAGGCUUUAGCCUCAGCCAAAACUAUUGCAGCAACGCAAGAAGGUGACAUUUUUCAAAAAGGCAUCCUCACUCCCCUUUUUCCUCAGGUCCUUGCCGACGCAAGACUUUCUCACAGACUUCUUCACUUUCAAACUAGCCAACGCAACGGCAGCCUUGCGUUCGGAUUUCAUCGCAACCGGGACAACUUUGGAGACAGGGGGCACGGAGGAUUUUGCAACCUCGCUCGAAGUGCCUUGUCCAAGCUUUUCUUUCUUCUUCUGAGCCUUGAGGCUGGAGGUCUUUAGUUUCGCUUUUUCAACCUCGAGCAUGACGAUCGCUUGGUUGUCAUCCUUCUUCGAAGUCCCUGCCGCGACCUUAGGAACGAUCCUCUCGACUUUCCUCUUUUUCCCUCUGCCACUGCCACCAGCCUGCUCCAAGCCUAUUGCGCUAGUUUCUCGCAUCCAUUUCAAAAUCUUACAAGGUUUGGGGUGAGGCGCAACCUCAACCCCAAGUUCUUCAAACACAUGAUUGACCCGAAGCUCGUGUGCGACGAUCCCGCGGGCCGAUGACAGCUCAGUCUUAGUGCAAGGGCCAAUAAUAUCAAUGUCAUAUCUCUCAACAUCAUCUGCAAAAAGACCAGGGUUGGCACCCUCGGGCAGCUCCAACCCGAAGUGAGGGUAAGGGAGUGGGCUAGUACUCCACGGAACCUCCUUCGGCACAAUCUCCAGCGGACACCACCCAUCAGAAAGGGGCUAGAUGUUAGCUGCCAGAAACUCUUCAACGAGAUCCCGCCCGGGGAUCAACUUCGAGGCUAGGAGGAAAGCGCCCUCACGUUCCUUGACUACCUUGGACCUUGUAAAAGCAGAGGUAGUACUAAUGUCCAUAGGGCCUAAGGGAGCAUAGAAGGGAUAGAAAGGUCGGCUGAUACCAAACGCAUCAGCCAUGUCAAUCUUAAUAUAGAACCAGUAGCUUAGCCAAUCGUCUUCCCACCUAUUCCUCUAUGCAUAAGAAAGCUCAAUCCUCUUGAUUCCUUGCUUCUCAUUGUUCUUCCUCCGAGUCGCGAAGCUACAGCACCCAAACUGUGUCUCAAAAAUACCUUCCUCGACAUCGAACAUAACUCUCUUCCUCUGGAUAUGGAGUUCAAACAACCUCGCAAACCCAUCAACAUCAAUGUGACUGCCAAAUGUACGCUGCACCCAAUAGAACUUGGACAGAGCAACAAAGGCAUUCGGAGUGAGAUGACGAAGCCUUGCCUUGUAUUGGUCCAAGAUCGUAUGCAAUUCCUUGUCACACGAAAAUCUCAAUCCGACAAUGAAAAAAUUCCUUGAACACAAUAGCCUCGCCUACCCUAGGCGCCAGCACAUCUUCGUCACCAGGUACCCUAGCAACACCCUCGGGGAAGUAGCCCUUGUCAACGUAAAACUUUAUCAUGUUGUUGGAAACCAAAGACUUCUCGAACUACAUGGUAGGGACGUAUACUUCCUUUGCUGCCAUUAGCUCUGACCGAUCAGCCUCGACGCCUGUAAGGUCCUCUCUACUUUCGGAGCUACUCUCGGAGUCACCACUGCCCGCGUUACCCUCGUCACCGUAGGUUAGCUUCGCGGCGUCCUCGAUGGCCUUAUCCACAUCUAGGCCUUCCUCAACCUUGUUGGAAAGCCUAGUCUGUUCAGCAAACUCCUCUGAUGUCAUGGGCCUUGUGGUUCGCAUACUACAAGCCAGCUGCAAAGCAUCAAAACAUCAUCUCAGAAAUAAAAGCAAAGGAAAAACUCACACUAAAAGAGAGACACAAAUAACAUCGUUACCUUCGAGAUCCUUGAGGCCAAGGAAAACAGCAUAUGACACACGAAUCUCAAAGCACGGAAGCAACGAGCAAAGCAGGAGCGCAAAAGGUCUCAGCCGUGAGUGUAAAAACAAAAGCGACCCACACCCUACCCCCCCACCCUUAAUAGGCACGGUAAAGGGCGCGGAACGGCACCUAAAACCUCGAGCCGAAUACGAAGGGUCAUCCAAUAGGAAAGCGACACAUUACACCAAAAAGGUAACCGUUGGCUCAUUUCUAACCGACGCUCGAGGGUGACAUUUUUUAGGAUAAGAUCCUUAAGUCGCGGGUUCGGUCGUCGGUGUCGUGCCUCGCCCACGAGGGGCUGCUGUUGGGGAUCGUCCAAAAAAGAUGGUCACCCUUGAGGUCAUUUUGAUAACCAUGAUCAACUCAGCCCCACAAAAUAAGUAGCCUCGGGCGAGAGUUCCUAACCUCGAGGAACAAAUCUGGCAUGAAAGACAGCUCUAACCUCGCAACGCUGCCGCAAGGUCAGUCUCGAAGAUGGGAAACAAUUACUGAUUGUCAAGCACUAAUCAAGCUUACCCUUGAGUGCUCAAAGAUGACUCCGAGCGCCGAGUUGUCCACUAUCUUAUGUAGUGUCGUUGAAACAAGCCGUGGUUCACGGUGCGGAGGUGGGGUCUCUUUGGCCCAAGGCUAAGGUGGUCUCGGGCCAGAGGUCAAAGUCAUGGAGGUGCUGAAAACGUGGGAGCGUGAUUCGCGGGACUUGCUCAGAGCGUGAUUCGCGGGAUUGCCUGAAGGCGUGGGAAGCAUGAUUAAAGGAGGAGACCAAGUCAUACAAGUUACCUCUUAAAAAGACCUCUAUGUAAAGCAUAUUCUAGUAACGUAGUGGGUGAGUAAGGAUAAUUGCGGAAUUUAAAGUGUCCUCCGAGAUACUAUAAAAAAGGAGAGCCCUGUAACGUUACGUUCAUUUUCAUGGAAUUGAAUCGCAGCAACUGAAACUUUCAGUUGUUUCCCAACAUCAGCACUGUUUCCCUAUAUUACACUUGUAUUUUCUGCACAUCAAAUGGAUAUGCACAUCAAAUGAGCUAUUAUUUCCGUUCGAAACCAAAAAAGAUCGAUAUGUUGCAUUGAUUCAGAUUGAAUUUUACGCCAAGCUUAGAGGGUGAUUCUGAUUGAAUUAUUUAUCCUAAUUUUUAUAUGGGGUUGCUGAAUCAGGCGAGCCCAUUAAUUAGUAACACAUCUUGUCGGCGGGUCAACCGUGUUAACGUGCAUGCUACUUGCACAACUGUAUUAUACUCUCACGAUGGACAAAUUUUCUGCCUACAAAUAGCGCAUCUGCAUUGCUAUCCCAACAUGCACUUCUCCUCCUCUCCGAUCUCUUCCUAUAGCUAUAGCUGCAACAACUAGCUAGUCCUGAUCACCAUGGCUGCCGCGAUGCUCAAGAUGGCCAUUGUUGCCGCCUGCAUCGCGCUGGCCCUGCUCUCCAUGGGUCCGCCGGCGGCGAUGGCUGACAUCCAGGACGACUGCCGCGCGACUUGCCGUGGUCUCUGCGAUGGCUUCGGUACGAACACGUGCAAUAACAUCAUUGCCAUCGCCCCUGCUGUCCUGAACAAUAUCAACUUCUUCUUCACGACGUGCAAAGUGAGGGUCACUGGGCUGUGCGCGUCCUUCUGCGUCACUACCUGCAGCCUCAACACCGUGACGCCGGCCAGCCCGCCGCCACCACCAUGCAAGCCAUAAUUGGUCUAUGCGUAUUACUACAGCAUGAAUGUAAUUCAAGUCCCGGCCGUAGAUCCGGGUAUUUGCGUUUAAUUCUAAUUUCCCUUUGAUUGUUCCGGUUGUCGUGUCACACCUGCAUAUGUAAUUCAAGUCCAGUCAUGCAUUAUUGUGCACACCUGCAUAUGUAAUUUUAUUUGAAAAGGUUAUUACCUAUCUUGAGAAAUUUACGGCUAUUAUUUUUACCGCGAUAUAUUUACCUGCAUUGUACCUUCCAUCACAAUACUAUGGUUAAUUUUUCUAUUUCUCUAUCUUCUAUCUCUUCCCAAGAGUUUGAGCUGAUGUGCUCCUCCCUCCUCUCGGACACAAUUCCACUACUGGAUACUCCCUCCGUUUUUAUUUAUAAGGUGCACACACAUAUCAAGAUUCAAACUUUGCAAUCUUUGACCAAUAACGUGACCAUUAAUUUUUUAUUUGUAUAAUAUAACUUUGUAUGGUUGGAUUCAAAAUCAAAUAUACUCUAUUGUGAUUAUAAGUUUAUAAUCAUAAAUAAUAUAAUAUAAGAAAAAUGAAUGUCAUCAAAGUGUUAUUUAGAAGAUCGUACCAAAUCAUACUAUGCCUUAUAAAAAUAGAUGGAGGGAGUACUACCCUAACUGCAUUAAAUAGAUCGUUGAUGUUUUGCCACCAAAACCCCCAGUGUUGAUCUUCCACCACCAUAGCUAGAGGCACAAUGCCGCACAACCCCCCCCCCCCCUCCUACUCCGUUGCCUCCAGCAGGCUAGCAUACGCGCGCCCAUGGUCUCCCCCUAAGCUUGCCCCUCAUCCAUCCUGAACCCUAAACAUCGCCAACAAAAAUUGGACAACAUAGCUACAACCCUCAACUGUAUGUGGUCCCAGAGGCUGGAUAUUUUUUUCCACUUUCUAAAAAAACAAUAGCAAACCCUACCGAUCGUGAUAUGGACAGUCAGCAACCCUAUUUCUCCCAAUUUUCAUAUGCAGCGACUGGAUGACAACUUCAUUAUAAACUCCCUCAGUCAACGGUGCUCAUUAGAAAAUGUUAUACAUACUUGUAGGCUGGUGUGUGUGCAUGUAAUAUCUCAUUAACUACUACAACGAAUGAAAUGCAUGCUCAUCCUACUGUAAUGCAUUCAAACGACUCUAAGGGCCUGUUUGUUUCCCUCCUGGAUUAUAUAAGCCGGAUUAAAGGGUAGGAGGAUAAAAGAUCAUCAUGGGAUCACUAGGGGACCACAGAUAAUCUGAAAUAAGCUAGCCUUUGGUAGCUUAUUUCAGAUUAUACGUGGUCCCAAAAUGAUAUUUUACCAUAGUAUUCAAGACCCAUAAUCCAACUUAUCUAAUUUAGGUGGAUUAUAAUCCCAAACAAACAGGCCUAUACCUUCUAAUGCUCAUCACACUGCUUGCUGCGUCAGCCACGCUUGCAAACGUGCAUGCUACUUGCACCACGCUGCUCGUUAGUCAGCAGUUUGUAGCAGCCAUGCAUGUUAUCAUUUUCUAUCAACGAAUCUCAGGAGCAAGCAUACACGUACGUACGUGAUGGCACAAUUGUGUACAGCGGAUGCCUAUAUCUUGCUAGACUAAUAGGAGAGAGUACGUUUGGAAUGUUGAUGCUAAUCAUAGCGAUCAAAACGCGCUACAAAAAAAUUGAUAAAUCCUUCUUCUUCUUUUUGUUCUCGGCCAUUAUGAUUCCUUAUGGUAUUUGGAUGGAAUGAACUUGGGGAUACGAGUGAGUGAGCGAGCAACACUUUAUCUUUGGAUAUGAUCCCAAGUUGCAUGCUUUUUUUUCCAGGUGCAUAGUUGUAUGAUGCUUGAGCUAUAGCAUUGCCAAAUUCAUCACUUUUUCCCCUAUUACGCUGGUAUUUUCUUCACAUCAAAUGGAUCCACUAGCCGAGCUAUUUUUUUGUUGGAAAUUGAAAAGAUCUGUUGCAUUGAUUCAGAUUGAAUUUUACGACAAGCUUAUAGGUUGAUCCUGAUUCGGGCAGCAGGGCAAUCUUAUUUAUCCUAAUUUUUAUAUGAGGUUAUUUAUCCUAAUUUUUAUAUGGGGUUACUGAAUCAUUGCGAGCUCAUUAUGAACUGCCAACAGUAGUCAACGGUACUCCUGCUAGCACCAAAUCUUUUAAUUCUAUUAUUGGUGUGGGUGUGGGUCAACCUGUUUACGUGUUGCAUGUGCGCUACUUGCAGAACUGUACAUGAACCGAGGGGGGAACGUUGUUGAAAGUCCAGUCAUUCCUCACAGACCAAAUGCUCCAGGUCAUCAGGAUAGUGAUCUCCAUGAAGAAGGGUACAUUCAGCUUGUGUUGGAUAGAGCUGAGUAUCCGGAGUGGAUGUCUGGUGGUAACCGUUGUUACUCCAAUGGAUGACCAGCAGGUUUUUGCAAAGUUGCAUCUGAAAAAGACAUGUGCCAUUGUCUCUCUUUUUUGAAGGAUGCAAUGCUCACAGGUAUAGGAUUCAAGGCUCAUUGUUUUCCUGCCUAGGAUAUCCUUGUACUUAGUCUGUCUUUACUUAGCAGCUAGAAAAACACCUUAUGUUUCUUUUGGCGUUUCGACUUCCACAGCCAUCGGUGGAUUGGGUGGACACUUCUCAGGCCCAUCACGGCCUUGUAAGUUUUCGCAACUGAGAAGUGGGGGCUGCCCCAGAUGUAGGUCUACUGAUCUCUAUCCUGCUGAGUGACAACAUUCCUCAUUCUAUUUUGCAGAGUAAGUAGCUGUUGAUGGGCUUCUCCGAGAGUGGCAGAUGGAAGUUGUGAGAUAGGGAAGGUCUCCUAAUGGCCUCUUUGUAUGCGAUUAGCUUGUUUUUAGCGAAUGAAAAGAGCUGGGGAAAUUCCAGGGAGAGAACCUGCUCGUUCCAUGUGUCCAUCCAGAAUAAGAUAGUAGAACCAUCCGAAACCCAUACUAAGGCUGUCUAGUAAUUUAACUACGUCUUUCCAUCAAAAUGAGCCUUUUUGUUUAUGUCCAAGCAGUUUUCCAUUAUGAUAGUAGUUGUCUCAGACUAGAUGUACCUAUGGGAUGUCUGCCUUCAUGAAGAACUUAUGGAGGAACUUGAGCAGGAGAUCCUCAUUUUGGCUAUUCAGACUAAUGACUCCAAGUCCUCCUUGCUGUUUGGGCAGGCAUACCAUAGGCCAGGCCGCUUUGGAUGGCCUUUUAGAUGAUAAGUCAGAUCCUCGCCAGAGGCAAUGCUUCCUGUAGUUGUCCAGUUGAGAGAUGAACCCCUUGUGAAGCUUCAGAGUGGCCAUAUGGAACAUUGGUGAGUACGAGAACACCGAAUUAACCAGCUCUAGUUUGCUCCCGUGGGAUAGCAUGUUGGAGAUACCACCUAUCCUUCUCUCCACUUUCUUGAUUAGGGGUAGAAAUUCCUCAAUAUUAGGCUUUGUUGUUCCUAGUGGCAGUCCUAGGUAAGUGAAAGGAAAGCUUCCAACCUGACAGUCAAAAACUGAUGAGAGUUGUUGUAGUUUUUCCUCAGGAGUGUUCAGGGGGACCAUAACAGAUUUGUUGUAAUUGACCUUAAGUCCUGUUGAGUCUGCAAAAAGGUUUAGCAAAUGCUUUAGAUGCAGCAGCUGAACUGGGUCGGCUUCCAUUACCAGUAAGGUAUCAUGUGCGUAUUGGAUGACUAGGAAAUCUAGACCAGCUCUUUCAGGUAUUGGCAAUUGUAAGCUUCCUUCCUCUUUGGCCUUAUUCAAAAUAGAUUGAAGGAGGUCCACUACUAGCACAAAGAGGAGUGGAGACAGCGGAUCCCCUUGCCUGACCCCUCGUCUGCAGUGGAAGACUUUCCCUGAUACUCCAUUGAGUAGAAAUGAGGAUGUUCCAGAACCGAGGAUGUCCUUAAUCCAUCCUAUCCAUCUAUCCCCAAAGCCCUUGUGUUUUUGGAUGUCCAAGAUGGCUUGGUGUUCUAUUCUAUCAAAUGCCUUCUCGAAGUCAAGCUUGAGAAUGAUGAGCUCCUUCUUGGAAGUCUUACAAAUGUGUAGAUAUUUAAAUGCUUAGGCUAAACAAUCUUGAAUAGAUCUGGAUUCUAUGAAACCAUAUUGGUUCUGAUGCAGUAGUCUUAGGAUGAUCUUCUGAAGCCAUUCUGCUAGGAGCUUGGUUAUUAGCUUGAUGGUUGAGUUAAGGAGGGAGAUAGGUUUGAAAUUUCCGACUUCCAUGGGGCAGUCUUUUUUUGGGUUGAGUGUGAUGUAGGAGGCAUUGAUAUUUGCACGCAUACUCUUUUGUCAUAGAACCCCUCACAUAAUUCAUAGAAGUCUUCAGCAAUUACCUCCUAGCAUGUCUUGAGGAAUUCACCAUUGAAGCCAUCUGGGCCAGGUGACUUGUUGCUUGGAAGAUCCUUGAUAAUUUGGUCAAUUUCUUCUUUUGAGAAGGGAGCUUCCAGCAAUUCUAAAUCCAGAACUGGUGUCAAAAGAGAGGGGAGUUCAAAGUACAUGUGGGUAAUUAAGAUCUCCCCAUCCUUUCUUUGUAAGCUUCCCAAAAGAGGCGAGCUUUAGCUUCAUGAUCGGAGAAAGACUACCCAUUGGCAUAUGUUAGUGAGGAGAUGUAAUUGAUCCUAUUUCUGACAGAGGCCCAAGCAUGAAAAAAUCUUGUACAUUCAUCCCCCAUUUUUUCCCAGUUAAUAGAGCUUCUCCGCUGCCAAUAGACCUUCUGUUGAUGAAGAAGGCUAUUAAGAUGUGAAGAUAUGAUUUCCCUAAAGUUCCACUCCUGCAGGGUGAGGUCUCUGGUUUCUUCGAUGAUAUCUAAGAGCUGCAGGACAUCUUUUGUGGUCUGAAUUGUUUUGGCCAAACUGGGAAGUUGAGACUUCCAAGUCCUGAAAACCUUUCUCAUGUUUUUGAAUUUGGCUCCUAUGUUCUUUUCCUUGUCAGAGCUGGGAAAAGGUGACACCCAUCCUUGUUGGAGAAUGAAAGGGGAUUGAUCAUGCUCUAGCCAGUAGUUCUCAAAACAGAAGACCUGUGGUGUUGGUAGGCUAUUAGAGAUCAACACAAUGCAAGGGAUAUGAUCCGACAAGUCCCUGGAUAACGAGGAGGCAAAUGUGAUGGGAUAAGUUAUAAUCCAAGAGCUAGAGAUGAAGAAUCAGUCUAGUCUCUCCAGCAAGGGGUUGAUUUGUUUGUUGGACCAAGUGUACUUGCAACCUUUAAGUUGUAUCUCUGUUAACCUAAGCCAGCUAAUCGCUUCCUUGAAGAUAAGCAUUUCCUGGACAUUUCCUCCCGGUUUGUUUCUGUCCUCUGGUUCCCUGAGAAGAUUGAAGUCCCCAACUAUUAGCCAUUUUUCAUCCUCAGGCAUUUCUAUCCGUUUGAACCAAUCUAUAAAAGGCAUCUUCCCCUCUGGGGUGCAAGGAGCAUAAAUAUAAGUGGGGAUCCACCUAUCUCCCGAUAGCUUGCAUUGUAGUUCGAUGGAAUAAGCGAAGUUGUUUUGGAAGAUAGGCUCACCCUUGAGCUUCAAGCCAUUCCAUGCUAUUAGAGUGCCCCUCGAGUUACCAGUGGAUGGGAGGACGUCAAACAGAUCUAGUUGGGGGGUGGCAGAAAUUCUAGAUGUAUCUUGCGUCAAAAGAUUCACAGUUAGUCUCUUGUUGACAAGCUGGACUCAGAAAUUUUAGUUUUGACUACGUUCCAUCUUCUCUAGGAGUUGAUGCCCCUAACAUACCAGGAUAACACGUUCCAAGAUCGUUUCUGGUUCAUUUGGAAAUGGUGUGUGCUUGGUAAUACCUCACUGCCGGCUCAACAAACAGUGGCAAAAUAAGCGUGGAAAGGAGAAUCCUUGAAUCAAAAAGCCAAAAAGGAGGGGAUGAACCCCUCAAAUUCUUUGAAGCAACACAACCACAAUAAGGUAAAUCCCACAUUAACCAAACAGCAAAAUAACUAUUCCCAGGAAGUUUAAACCACCAACAUAAUAUCAUUUGCAACAUAAAGAUAAAUGAAAGAUAGCUGUCUUCACUGAAACAGACCAGCUGCAAGAUCCAACCAUGUCCCAGAUCCCUAGUGCUUCUUGACUGUAUCCCUGGCGUUGUCCGUUUUGGCCCAAUAUUUCUUCGCUUUCCCCUUGCGUGGAAUAUUUGCCGAGGCCUUUCCCUUUCCAUCUCCAAUGGUCUUCUGAGAGGUGGGCUUGGAGAUUAAUAGAUCAUCAGUGGUUCAGGCAGAGUCGAUGCCACACACCUGCCCACCUAGGUCUUGAAUGCUUGAAGAAGAGAGAGAUGGUGCCGUUGUGUUGCAAGCGAGGCAGUUUCUAUCCUGACAAGUUUUUUUGUGAAAUCCUCCACUUCUGUCUUUGAGCCUAUUGCUUCUCCCGACGCUAGACUCAACUUCUAGCACAGCCCUUGCUCCCAAUCUGGCAUUGGCUUUCUUUGGAGCCUUUUGUUCUUCUAGCUCAGGGUCUGAUUCCUUCAGAGGAGAAGAAGUACCAGUCUCCUCCUACUCAUUAAGACAAAUAACAGGGCUGCUACUAGGGCACAAAGAGUGGAUGGCGAAGGCCAUCAUGGCAGAUAAAUCAAUGCAACUUAGCAGUGCCUCCUUGGCUCUGGAGGCUAGGAACUUCUUGGCCCAAUCGAAUUGUUGGGGGGAUAGCAACACCACUAUGAAGAAACCGGCCCAAUGUGUUGGUAUGUGAACCACCUGCUCAGGAUAUCCUAUAGGAGAGAAAAACUAGGCCCAAAUCCUGUAGACAUUUGGAUUUUGACAUGGAGCUGAGGCCCUGGGGGUGGUAAUGUCCUUGAUGCUAGGUCCAUCUAUCACAGGAAUUGAUUGUCUGAGUCUGCCUAAGAGAAGGUCCAGGUCAUGUGUGUUUGGUUGAACUGGGGUGACUACCAUGUUGACAUUAAGAUUAACCUGAAAAGGGGCCUCCUGGGCUUGAUUUGGCAAAAUACCCUGCUGUCCUGGGGGGAUGGCAGGCAACCCCAGCACCACAUCCUGAUCCAUCUCCAUAUCAUUGAGUUGAGCCCCAGCUUGUUCUGCAUGGAAGUCCAUAUUUUGGCCCAAUGGGGGCAUUGCAGCCACCACAUCAUCCAAUUCCAUAAUCUGAUUGUUGAGAACCGGUGGGUCUUGCACGAUCACCACUGGAAGAGGAGCUGAAGAGCUCGAGGAGUUGGUUGGUGGAGACAGGUUAAGGUCACCGGCGGAGGGAGAGCCCGCACUCCGCUCUCAACCACAACUGUUGUAAUAUUCCAAAAAUUUGAAAUAUUAUCAUGGUUGUAAUUUUCUCAAAAAUUUGAAAACUUUAUGUAUGGAUGUGUGCGAGUUGCAAACUACUCUAUCUCUCUCUCUCCUAAAUUCUAAAUUUCAAUAUGUGUGGCAUGAUUUGGAAUUAUGGAUCUUAUUUGGAGUUCUUGUUUGAGUGUUGUAUAAAAGCAAACUCAAUCCCUAAAUUCAAUUUCAUAUUCCAAAUUCAAAUAUGAAAUCAGAUAAAAACAAAAGCAAAACAAACUCCCUCAGCCAGGCCAGCCUACCGGCCAAAAACUGCUUUCAGCUCAGCUUGCCACGCUAAGUAACCAGGCCACCUUCGGCCCAACUUCAACCGCUGGCCCGCCUACCCCCUUUCCUCUUUUCCAGCUACAGCGGGCUACCCACCUUUCUUUCUCUUUUCGCCCAGCCCAAAGCAACCAGCCCGCUUAACCCUUUCCCCUUAGCUUCGUGGGCCGCUCUUCCUUUCCUUCAGGCCGGCCUGCAGGCCACUUUCUUCUUCCACAAACCGCCAACCCAGUCCGUCUCGACCUCCCCUCUCCUAUUCUUCUUCAACCUCGCACGGAUGCAAAAGUGUCGCGCGCAGGUGCACUACCUCGCGGCUGGGGGUGGCGUGUCCCGCUUCUGGAGGCUUCCACCAGGCGCUUCUGCUACCCCUACUCCGCCACCUACCCCCGCUCCCAGGGCCGUUGGAUGCACCGCAAUGGGCUCCAGGUGCGUAACCCUAGGAUCGACGGCCAGGAAACUCUAUGCCCCUCCACUGCCUUGGCCAAGCUAUAAAAUGGGGCUUUGGGCAUGCCCUAAGGCCAUCCCAUCCGCUCCGAGGGCUGCCUGUCCACCACCACCACCCAGUUGAGAGGAGGGCCGAGUUGAGAAGAAGGGUUGGGAGGAGAAGGAGGAGGCCCUGUCGAAGGAGUUGCUGCCAUCCGCGGGAGGAAUAAGGCGCUGUCCGAGGGAGUCACUGCGUGAGAAGAAGGCACCGUCCGAGGGAGCUCCAGCGAAGAAGGAGGCGCCGUCCAUGUGAAGCGUCGUCGCCAACUUCUUCCUCCUCACCACCGUCUACCUCGUCUACUCCACCACCACCUCUUCUUCCCCUUCGCCGAGACAGCCUUGUAAGCCUCCAAGAUCUCACCUUUCCCCUCUCCUGACUACCUGAAACCCUAAAGCCAUGGCCUUUGUGCUACCCUUUGCCUGCUUCGCCUGUGGAAGCACUUGUCGCCACUGUCCUUGCAUUUGAGCUCGCGUGAACCUCCUUGCUUGCUCGCGCCUCACUACUUGCGCUGCUCGCCCAGCUUGCCUUGGCCGUUUUCGCGUGCGCCAACUCUGCUGCUUGCCUUUGCAUGCACCCGCCCGCGCACCGCUGGGUCGUGUGCCCGCUUCUAACCGACGCAACGUCGCGCGAGGUUCGCGGUCACCAUGGCCGCUGGCUGCGGCAUCAUGAUGCUGUUCGCAGUCACCGCCUGCGCGUCGCGCGGCACAGCGCGUCGUUCGUGCACCGCACUCGCUGCCUGCCCGCUGUGCGGGCUUCGCAGCUCGCCGUGACACGCCACAGCGCACUAGCGCUCACCGCCGCCAUCACAAGCCACGUGGCCGCCCCGUCAGCGCCAUGUGGCAGGUGGGGGCCCACCUGUGGGUCCGCCCAUGGGGCAUACCUGUGGGGCCCACCGUUGACCAGUGGGGUCCAUGCGUUGACCGUUGACCAUUGACCCAGUAAUGCUUCUUUCUCCUCUUUGCAGGGUCCUCCUCGUAUGCAAUCCCUAUAAUGAUUUUGCAACAUGAGCAAUUGUACCUGAAUCAAUCCACCAAGUAUAUCUACAGCACCCAAACUUUUUCUCAAAAAAACCUUCCUCGUCAUCGAACAUAACUCUCUUCCUCUGGAUAUGGAGUUCAAACAACCUCGCGAACCCAUCGACAUCAAUGUGACUGCCAAAUGUACGCUGCACCCAAUAGAACUUGGACAGAGCAACAAAGGCAUUCGGAGUGAGAUGACGAAGCCUUGCCUUGUAUUGGUCCAAGAUCGUAUGCAAUUCCUUGUCACACGAAAAUCUCAAUCCGACAAUGAAAAAAUUCCUUGAACACAAUAGCCUCGCCUACCCUAGGCACAUCUUCGUCACCAGGUACCCUAGCAACACCCUCGGGGAAGUAGCCCUUGUCAACGUAAAACUUUAUCAUGUUGUUGGAAACCAAAGACUUCUCGAACUACAUGGUAGGGACGUAUACUUCCUUUGCUGCCAUUAGCUCUGACCGAUCAGCCUCGACGCCUGUAAGGUCCUCUCUACUUUCGGAGCUACUCUCGGAGUCACCAUUGCCCGCGUUACCCUCGUCACCGUAGGUUAGCUUCGCGGCGUCCUCGAUGGCCUUAUCCACAUCUAGGCCUUCCUCAACCUUGUUGGAAAGCCUAGUCUGUUCAGCAAACUCCUCUGAUGUCAUGGGCCUUGUGGUUCGCAUACUACAAGCCAGCUGCAAAGCAUCAAAACAUCAUCUCAGAAAUAAAAGCAAAGGAAAAACUCACACUAAAAGAGAGACACAAAUAACAUCGUUACCUUCGAGAUCCUUGAGGCCAAGGAAAACAGCAUAUGACACACGAAUCUCAAAGCACGGAAGCAACGAGCAAAGCAGGAGCGCAAAAGGUCUCAGCCGUGAGUGUAAAAACAAAAGCGACCCACACCCUACCCCCCCCACCCUUUAUAGGCACGGUAAAGGGCGCGGAACGGCACCUAAAACCUCGAGCCGAAUACGAAGGGUCAUCCAAUAGGAAAGCGACACAUUACACCAAAAAGGUAACCGUUGGCUCAUUUCUAACCGACGCUCGAGGGUGACAUUUUUUAGGAUAAGAUCCUUAAGUCGCGGGUUCGGUCGUCGGUGUCGUGCCUCGCCCACGAGGGGCUGCUGUUGGGGAUCGUCCAAAAAAGAUGGUCACCCUUGAGGUCAUUUUGAUAACCAUGAUCAACUCAGCCCCACAAAAUAAGUAGCCUCGGGCGAGAGUUCCUAACCUCGAGGAACAAAUCUGGCAUGAAAGACAGCUCUAACCUCGCAACGCUGCCGCAAGGUCAGUCUCGAAGAUGGGAAACAAUUACUGAUUGUCAAGCACUAAUCAAGCUUACCCUUGAGUGCUCAAAGAUGACUCCGAGCGCCGAGUUGUCCACUAUCUUAUGUAGUGUCGUUGAAACAAGCCGUGGUUCACGGUGCGGAGGUGGGGUCUCUUUGGCCCGAGGCUAAGGUGGUCUCGGGCCAGAGGUCAAAGUCAUGGAGGUGCUGAAAACGUGGGAGCGUGAUUCGCGGGACUUGCUCAGAGCGUGAUUCGCGGGAUUGCCUGAAGGCGUGGGAAGCAUGAUUAAAGGAGGAGACCAAGUCAUACAAGUUACCUCUUAAAAAGACCUCUAUGUAAAGCAUAUUCUAGUAACGUAGUGGGUGAGUAAGGAUAAUUGCGGAAUUUAAAGUGUCCUCCGAGAUACUAUAAAAAAGGAGAGCCCUGUAACGUUACGUUCAUUUUCAUGGAAUUGAAUCGCAGCAACUGAAACUUUCAGUUGUUUCCCAACAUCAGCACUGUUUCCCUAUAUUACACUUGUAUUUUCUGCACAUCAAAUGGAUAUGCACAUCAAAUGAGCUAUUAUUUCCGUUCGAAACCAAAAAGAUCGAUAUGUUGCAUUGAUUCAGAUUGAAUUUUACGCCAAGCUUAGAGGGUGAUUCUGAUUGAAUUAUUUAUCCUAAUUUUUAUAUGGGGUUGCUGAAUCAGGCGAGCCCAUUAAUUAGUAACACAUCUUGUCGGCGGGUCAACCGUGUUAACGUGCAUGCUACUUGCACAACUGUAUUAUACUCUCACGAUGGACAAAUUUUCUGCCUACAAAUAGCGCAUCUGCAUUGCUAUCCCAACAUGCACUUCUCCUCCUCUCCGAUCUCUUCCUAUAGCUAUAGCUGCAACAACUAGCUAGUCCUGAUCACCAUGGCUGCCGCGAUGCUCAAGAUGGCCAUUGUUGCCGCCUGCAUCGCGCUGGCCCUGCUCUCCAUGGGUCCGCCGGCGGCGAUGGCUGACAUCCAGGACGACUGCCGCGCGACUUGCCGUGGUCUCUGCGAUGGCUUCGGUACGAACACGUGCAAUAACAUCAUUGCCAUCGCCCCUGCUGUCCUGAACAAUAUCAACUUCUUCUUCACGACGUGCAAAGUGAGGGUCACUGGGCUGUGCGCGUCCUUCUGCGUCACUACCUGCAGCCUCAACACCGUGACGCCGGCCAGCCCGCCGCCACCACCAUGCAAGCCAUAAUUGGUCUAUGCGUAUUACUACAGCAUGAAUGUAAUUCAAGUCCCGGCCGUAGAUCCGGGUAUUUGCGUUUAAUUCUAAUUUCCCUUUGAUUGUUCCGGUUGUCGUGUCACACCUGCAUAUGUAAUUCAAGUCCCGUCAUGCAUUAUUGUGCACACCUGCAUAUGUAAUUUUAUUUGAAAAGGUUAUUACCUAUCUUGAGAAAUUUACGGCUAUUAUUUUUACCGCGAUAUAUUUACCUGCAUUGUACCUUCCAUCACAAUACUAUGGUUAAUUUUUCUAUUUCUCUAUCUUCUAUCUCUUCCCAAAAGUUUGAGCUGAUGUGCUCCUCCCUCCUCUCGGACACAAUUCCACUACUGGAUACUCCCUCCGUUUUUAUUUAUAAGGUGC
rnacentral:lncRNA from 1 species